rnacentral:lncRNA from 1 species
UUUUUUUUUGUCAAUUGACAUGCCAUGUGCCCUGAUCAGAAUGAAUACUUCCAAGAUUUCUGUUUUUCUUUUGCAUCCCAAUAGAUUUGAGCAGCUUGCUGGUUCAGGCUUCAUCAAAGAUCGAGCAAGAUUUGUGCAGAUUUAUCCUCUUCUUUCCCGAGCAUAGCAUGUUAUUUAGGAUUUUUCACACCAAAAAAAUGUUUGUGGUGCGAAUGAGCUGUGCUUGGCUGAUAUUUUGUCUCCGCGUUUCUUGUGUGUUAGUCUAAGAUUUAUACUAAAUUUAUAAAUCAGCUACUUGUAGAUGUGAUUAUUCUCGCCUAGUAUUCUUUAAGACCUGGCAAUCGGUGGUCAAGUCUUCGUUAGAAGUUAGGCAGUAUUUUUCAGACAUUUAGUGGCCUACCAUGUCCUGCGAGCUACUCCACUUGCUAGUUGCUAAAUGUUUUGUCAAAAAUAACUUGCAACAUGCUAUACACUAUUCGAGCUCCAUCAGUUAACUAGUGAGGCUGAUUGGAUUACUUGUUAGGUACGAGACUAUGACCUUAGUUUGUACAGUGCAAGUUAGGUAUGUGAACAGGGAAUCUACUAGACUGAAAAAACAACAGGAACAUCAUCAAAUAGCAUCAUGUAUUCCUGUUAACAAGUAGAGCUAUGUAUUUCAGCUCAUUGUUAUUUAGAUAGGCUGCUGAUACUUGUCUUCUUGUAGGCAUCACAGAAAUUGCAUUGGGUUGGAUUUAAUCUGACGUUCUGAAGAAAGAAGGCCUCAGGAUAUUUAGCUUGGCAGGCCCAGAGGUGCUUGAGAGAAGCUAUGUCUUUUGUCGGGCGAGUAGACCCAUCAACGACAUACGCAGAUAAUAUUUAUGUACAUAAAUUCGGCGCACCCAACUCAAACUUUGCUGCAAGAAGAUUUGGCUCUGAUACGCAGUUGUUCCGUUAUGGCCCUGAACCAUUCAAUUCCGAGGACUAUGGACAUAUGGGUUUCCCUGAAGCACCAUCUGCUGCAUUUCAGAACUCCUUUUAUAACCAGCAAGCUUCACUAACACCCUGCUCUGAUGCAACAAAAGACUCACCGGUGUGCUCCAAUGUGUCUCAACAGAACUCCCAGUCUUUAUCAGAUAAUCAGAGUUCUGGACUUGAAGUAGAGUUCGAUGAUGAGAUCAGACUGAAGCUUCAAGAGCUGGAGCAUGCUUUACUUGAUGAUGGAGAUGACAUCUUGUUCGAAAUUUCCCAGGCAGGUUGCAUCAGUGAUGAAUGGGCCGAUCCCAUGAAGGAUGUCUUGCUUGCAACUUCUCCGAAAGAAUCGGAAUCAAGCAUUAGUUGUGCAGGUAGCAACAGCGGAGAAGCACGGACCCCAAAGCAGUUGCUCUUUGACUGUGCCACGGCAUUGGCUGAAUACAACGUAGAUGAAGCACAGGCAAUCAUAACGGACCUCCGGCAGAUGGUCUCGAUCCAAGGGGACCCUUCUCACAGGAUUGCAGCUUAUCUAGUGGAGGGCCUUGCUGCAAGGAUAGUAGCUUCAGGGACAGGCAUCUACAAGGCAUUGACAUGCAAGGACCCUCCAACCCUGUAUCAGCUAUCAGCAAUGCAAAUCCUCUUUGAGAUCUGUCCAUGCUAUCGAUUUGGUUUCAUGGCUGCUAAUUAUGCCAUACUUGAAGCCUGCAAAGGUGAAGAAAGGAUGCAUAUUAUAGACUUUGACAUCAACCAAGGCAGCCAGUAUAUUACACUGAUGCAGUCUAUGAAAGAUGAUGCAAACAAACCACGCCAUUUGAGAAUAACUGGUGUGGAUGAUCACGAGACAGUGCAGAGGACUGUGGGAGGUCUGAAGGUCAUUGGGCAACGCUUGGAGAAGCUUGCGGAGGACUGUGGAAUAUCUUUUGAGUUCAGGGCAGUGGGUGCUGACAUCGGGGAUGUUACACCUGCAAUGCUAGAUUGCCGUCCCGGGGAAGCACUAGUUGUGAAUUUUGCAUUCCAGCUGCACCACCUUCCUGAUGAAAGUGUUUCGAUCAUGAACGAACGGGACCAGCUCCUUCGUAUGGUGAAGGGCCUUCAACCAAAGCUUGUGACCCUGGUUGAGCAGGAUGCCAAUACUAAUACUGCUCCAUUUCAGACAAGGUUAGUUAUUUCAUUAUCCAAUUCUAUUGCGGCAGUAAUUUUGGUUCUUUGUGGAUUGGAUAGUUUCUCCACAUCCUUUCUACUCCCUCUGUUCCUAAAUUUAAGUCUUUGUAUGUGGUCCAUAGUGGAAUCUCUACAAAGACUUAUAUUUAGGAAAGGAGGGAGUAGACACUAAUAAUGUUCCUUUGUAGAUUCUGUCUAUUGACUUGAGUUUUUCUUCCCACUGCCGAGCCCCUAAAAAUACCUGAAACAUCUGACUUUCACAGGUUCCGUGAGGUCUAUGACUACUACUCCGCUCUUUUUGAUUCACUGGACGCAACACUUCCAAGGGAAAGUCCGGACAGAAUGAAUGUGGAGAGGCAAUGCCUUGCACGAGAAAUUGUUAACAUCUUGGCUUGCGAAGGCCCUGAUCGUGUGGAGAGGUAAUUCUAGUGCUGCUCUCUACUCAUACGUCAUGCAAAUACUUCUUUCAAACUAUGCAUACUGCAAACUCCAUGUGGCUGACAGUGAAGUUGUUUAUGCUCCAGGUACGAAGUUGCUGGAAAAUGGAGAGCGAGAAUGACGAUGGCUGGAUUCGCACCGUGCCCAUUUAGCAGCAACGUUAUCGGAGAGAUAAGAUCGCUGCUGAGCUCGUACUGCGACAGGUACAAGUUUGAGGAGGACCAUGGGGGACUUCACUUCGGCUGGGGAGAGAAAACGCUCAUCGUCGCCUCCGCGUGGCAAUAGGUCGAGCUCACUGACUUGGGUUGCAUUAGCACUGCUGUAUUUUAGGAGCUUCUGGUGCAGAGGUUGUAAAAAGGGUGUGAACCGCAGAGGAGUUCUUGGCUGAUCUUAUCUAAUUUUAGGAGUCUGCUUGUCAGAAUAAUUGAGUUUGGCUGAUCGCCCGGGUGAACCAUGUUGUGCUGCUGCAGCAACUGGUUGUGUUGUUGUAUUCUGGGAUAGAAUCAUGACAUGUCGACUCUGCUCCAUGUAUAAAUCUAUUUAUGUUGCUAGAACAUACUCCUAAGUACAAUGUUGUGUCUGUUUGGGAACUAGAACAUGCAGCAAUAUAUAAGUUUGGCCACAGGUUUCUGUCUAUCGAUACAAUCAUGUAAAUACUUGCAAAAGUCCAUCCAGAUUUUAAUUAUAACCAAUAGAGUAGUUGGCAGCAGUUUGGCCACAGGUUUCUACCAAAAAAAUGGUAGAAGAAUAACCUUUAUUUAUCUUACAGAGUAAUCUUGUGAAAUUACAACAGCUUGAUGUACAACAUAACAUUUCAAAACCCAUAUAUCAAAUACAUACACACAUAUGCUCUCCAGAUAUAUUUGUUGAAGUAAUUUAGCUGACAACACUAUAAUCUCAAGAAUCUGAAUUCUUCACGGACCAUAUUUGUCUAUAUUUGUCGUAUGUGCUAUAAAAUAUAUCUCAUAUUGAAGGCAAGGUAUAAGCUCAAUCUUAUCUUCAAGGUAGGCUGUGCCGUGAAUUCAACGAGCUAUAAUCAGAGCCAGGUCGCCUUUUGACCCGUUUAGUGGAUUCCAAAAGUCCAACAAGAGACGGGAGAGGAUGCGGGACAGGGACAUUCCUCGAUCUGUACAGCCUCUUCAGACUUGCAUGCAAAGAUUUCGAUGACCCAAUGACACACAGGCGGUCCGAUUGACAAUCUGUUACCUCUGCAUUCCUAACCAUGCGAAGGCUUGAACUUUCGGCAGUGCUUAUAGAUAUUGGCUCUAUUAUAAUGUCAGACUUUUCCAGUUGAUCAAGCACUACUGACAUAUUGUGUUGAACAGUAGGCAAAGGUUGAACUGCAAAUGCUUCUGGUAGGGUUGGGGGUGCUUUACACUGAGAGGAGGGGGGCACACCUCCAGCUUCGGCACACUGACAGGAGGGGGCCACAUCUCCAGCUUCGGCACAAUCUUGUUGGGAAGCUGGGGCUUGCUUUGUGAUUAAAUCCAUACCAGAAUAUGUUUCAACAUUUUGGCUGCUAUCAUGAAGCAAAUCUUCCGGUGCACAGAAUCUGGUUUGUUCAGCUGCAGCAAUGUACUGGUGGCACAACUCUUCUUUCAUUAUGUCAAUCGCUUGAGAACCAAAUCUUGCUCUUCCAAACAAUGUAAUAUCUGGUUCUUCAACCGGAGGGGAUGGCACAAAUUGCAGUUCAAGUGUAAUGACAUCAAAAUCUGUGCAUUCUUCACUGGCAGAAGUUGGAUGAUCAUCAUCAACAAAAGUUGAGGGAUCUUCAUCUGGCGGCGUGCAAGAAGCAAGCACCGACGAGGGUGAGGUUACUGACUUUUGAAGAGGAUCCCUGAAUAUCUUCCACAAUGGAUCAUUAGUUGUCAAGCGAGUCUUGAAACAAUGUUUCUUCACAUAGCUCAGCUCCAUGGCAAAGCAUGGGGGAGUUGUUGAGAUGACCCAUUGAGGUUGAAGAAGUUGCAUCGCCUGCUCCAACUCGUCACGGGAUGAGUGAAUGGAGAAACAGACAUGCCAGAUCCCAAAAUCAUCCUGCUGAGCUUCUGUUAGGCUGGGUUUCUGGUUUCGACCACAGGCAUACCACUGCGUUGAGGGGCGGAUAAAUAAAGGCUCUGGCUGAAGACUAGCCCUUGCCCCUUCAAGCUUUUUACUUGCAUUAUCAUACAAAUGGUGGAAUCCAACUAUCUGUGGAAAUAAAAAUGGUUAAAGCCAACAUAGUAGAAAGAAAAAAGUACCUACUUUACAUGCAAUAUACAUCAGACGAAUUGGUUGAAUCCAACUAUCUGUUGAGUUAACAGAGUUAGAACCAACAAAGUAAAAAAAAAAAAAUUAGUACUCUGUGACAUACACAUAAGAACAGUGACACGGAUUAAGAAUUUUACUACUCAAAAUUGGUUACAAAAUUUGCAUUAUUGUUUUCAAUAACAGCUUUAGAGAUUUUGGCGCUGGCAUUUAUUCAAUCAUACAAGUGUUCAGCAGUCCCGACAGGUUAGCAGUAUGUGAAUUAAAACAGAAUGAAUGUCAUCGAGUAACACACCUGAAAGCGACAAGAUGGAUCACCAGUGAUGAUCUCAGGGGCUGUGAGUGACAGCGCUUUAAAACAAUCUGAAUUCCUUCUCGUGUCAACAUAAAUUUUCGAUCCAAACGUCCUGGACACCUCAACUAGGAUCUCUUCGUGACCAAGAAGGUCACAAGCAAGAUAUACAAAAGGUGCAUCCGGAUGCUUCCAUAUACAAGCUAUAACCUGCAUUUACUGAAUCAUUUCAAAAUGGUGACUUCCCCGUUGUCAUAGCUACAGCCCCCCAGCCUUCAAAAAAAAAAAAUACUACAGCCCCCCAGGCAAUGACAAGCACAUUUAAAACCUCAGAGCAGAGGAUAACCUGCUGAAUUGCCAACUCCUUGCUUGGUAGUUUGAGGAAGCAUUUGGAAAAUGUGCAGUCCAGGAACACAAAGUCUAAACGACAAACAUUUUCUUUCCCUUUCUUUGCUAUGUAUUUCAGUGGCAAGUUCUGAGCACAAUCUGGUGUAAGUCGGCAGUCGCCCGUGUGCAGUAUGCUACCGAAUUCACCCUCAAACAAGAACAUAACUGCCCCUGAAAUCAGAGGGAACGGCAACAGUUAGUGCCAAAGGCCAAAUUCCCAAUUUCCAGGGCGCAUUUUAUGAUAUCAUUAAUAUAGCAAAACAUAUGCUCGAGCUUGUUAUUAAUAGGGUUAAAGAAACUUGAUUAGAGGUGUUGUGCCAAAUCUGGUAACAUGAGUUCUAGCCAUGCUUCAAUGUACUGAUGACACAGUGUUUCUGUUUGAGGUUGAUUUAUCUGGUUUGAGCAUUCAUCUGGUUUUAAGAUAUUCUUUCACAAGAGUGAAAUAUGUUGUUUGGGAGAGGCUAAUCAGGACAGAGAACAGUAUAUGGAAUUUUUACUUGUGUGGAGGCGGUGCUGCCUAUGAAAUAUCUAGGGGUCCCCUACUCAAGAAAGAUCAACACAUAGUGACUGGAAGAGAAAUAAAUAAAAGGUAGAGGGUAAACUGGGCACAUGGCAGAGGAAGUUUCUCUCCAAUGAGGAGAAAUUAUAACUGCUUAGAUCAUGUCUCCAUUUGAAUUAUCUAAAGUUUUUUUUUUCAGAUAGAAACUGUUGUGGCAAGACAGGAAGGGGGGACAGAAACAUCAGCUGGUAAAUUGUAAUGCUGGAGAUAAUAACAUCUUUUUGUGCAUUGUUCCAUCGCUAGACAUGCCUGGGGUGCACCAAAAUGUGUUUUGGAUAUUGACAUUGAGAUAAGUUCAGUAGCAAAGUUAUAUGGUUGGGUGCUAAAUUUGCAAGGGUCUCACAGGGAGCGCUUAGCUGUAGGGUGGGUAGCUCAGCUUGCUUUCGUAAUGUGUUUCCUUAUGACCCAACUAGCCUUGUAGCGAAAACGGCUCGUUGGUUGAACUUUUACUCUGGAUUACAUAAAGGCAUAAAGCAGGUGUGCGCUCAAUGCAGCGCCGAGGGGCAAGCUUAUUUCUGCAAGUGGCGUCUAAGUUCUUCCAUCAGAGGCGGGGUCGGCGCUGAUGGUUGCCAAAGAUUGCCGUAACUGGGUGUUUCUGGUGAGCGUCAGGCAGCUGGGAAAUGUCGGCCGUGGUAGGUGGAGACACUUUUGAGGCAAACCCAUUGCAUCUGCAUCUCGUUUUUGUGGUGCUCUUUUGGCCCGGUUAUUAUGCUACUGUUGUGCGCCUAAAAACGUUGAGAGCCUGCUUAGAUCUCCAAGUAGCUGCCAGGGGCGAUGCUACACCGGGAGGGGCUAGCUUGAUGAUGUGGUGUUUCAUUUUGCAUUUGAGAACUUGGGAGCUGACUGUUCAUCAGUUUCAGAAAUGAAAGCAUGAUUGAUUUAUGCACUAGCAACUUCAAUCUUAGGUAUGUUGCAUUUCAGAACUUCGAAGCUGACUGUUUAUCAGCUUCAGAAAUGAAAGCAGGAUUGAUAUAUGCACUAGCAACUUCAAUCUUAGGUUCGAUGCAUUUUAGAACUUGACACCUGACUGUUUAUCAGUUUCAGAAAUGAAAUCAGGAUUGAUGUAUGCACUAGCAAGUUCAAUCUUAGAUAUGAUGCAUUUGGAGCAGUAGGAUUGAUUUAUCCACUGGCAAGUUCAAUCAUAAAGACUGGUGUAACAAGAUAAGCAGAGCAAGCAAGGAGCGUUACCAGGGCAGUGGUUGGCAUCGUACGCGGUGACGGAGAAGGCGCCGGCGGGGUCAUCCACCUUCAACGUCCUCCCCACCUCGACCUCCACGAACUCCCCCUGAUCCAGCUGCAGCACAGCCACACCCACGGGAGAAAUCUCAAUCCACCGCAGUAAAUUUCAAAAUCUACCGCGGCUCUCUGAGAGACAGGCUAAGGUACCUGGGGAAAGUGGCGGAGGGCGAGGGACAGGGUGAGGCGGGUGGCGUAGAGGGCGCCUCCUCCUCCUCCGGGGCCGGCCCCGGCGGCGGCGCCGACGAGGUGGUCCCGGUGCGCGUGGGUGAGGAAGCGGUGGCGCCGGCGGCGGGAGGAGGCGCCCCACGUGUCCACGGCGAAGGGGAGCCCCCGCGGCAUCUCUAUCGGCAUCCUCCCCGGAACUUUGUGAAAUUGCGGCCAGGCCCUCCUCCGCUUCCUCGGAAGCGCGCCGAUUCGUUGGGACUUGGGAGUUGGUUGGGUCGGUUUUAUAUUCCUGGAAUGGGAAGAGUGUUCUCCUUCCGCUGGAAGGAAGAGAAAUGGGUUCGUGGAUUCGGGUUCUCACUUCAGUUUUAGUGGCCGGACGGAGGCCCAGAACCCGCUAACUUGCCGCCUUUGGUGAGUUCCUAAGUUGGCUGACACUGACAGGUGGGUCCACAUGUCAGUGCUCUGUCUUUUGCCCACCAGGGCUUGGGCCUUCCCAUUCUGCUUCCUCUGGGCCUAACAACUAACUAUUGCAAUUUCGAAGUUCAAAAAAAAAAACUAUUGCAGUGCAAAGUUGAAAAGAAAAAAAACUCAGCCCAAUGGAAUGGAUGCGGCUAUUCUGCACCCGGGCUCUUAGAUGAGGCCGGAUGUGAACAGUAAAAUGUUUGAAACAGUAAACAUGUAAAUAAUUUUGUGAUGCAAGAUGCUUAUGUGCGUGUUGUCCGUGUGAAAUUUGGUGAAGUUUGGGCACUCGAGGAGCUCAUGAUGAAAAAGAUAAAUUUCGGGUGUCUGAAAAACUUUUGAAAACAACACUGUUCACAUUUGCUUUUGACAUUUUUUUGUCAGGAGCUCCUAGAAUGUUCAAACACCCCGAAAUUUUGCAGCUCCUCCAGUCCAAACACCCGAAUUUUUGCAUGAACAUCACGCCUUUGAGCAUUUUGCACCACAAAAAAAAUUGAUUUUUUUAUUUUACCGGGUGUAGAUGAGCCCAGCCAAACAAGUUGAAUUUUCGUCUUCAAGCAUCUUCUGAGAUUCUGAAAUUAUGGGAUGAAAGUACAAGCGUCCUGUACUGCGCACAAAAACAGAGCUGAAGAAGAAAGCCAAACAAUCCUCACUUGCGAUACAACUUGAUUUUCGGAGUACUCUGUCUCAUAGCUCCCUCUUUGGUUCCGCACCAGCUUGUGGCUGGCAAAUGUACGUACGUACAGAGUCAUCAAGAAACAAAUCAACAAGGCAGAUACGGACAAUCAGCUUCGCUGGUGGGACAUGCAUGUUGGAACGGGUCCCCGAAAACCUAGGAGCUCUCAUGAGAGGCCAUUAGGGUUUCUGGUGGAGAAUAGCGGCGCACGUCGAUCUCCAUUGACGGUGCGCACGGAUCUUCGAUCUGGGGAUGGCAACGCCCCCAGAAAAGAGUGCGGACAAGCAAGUGCCCUCCCCGCCUAGGGCUGCGAGGGCGCAGAUGGAAGAGGCCAUGGGAAAGUUGGAUCUCACCGAAGAAGAAGCUACCCCUCUGGUACUUGACGAUCUAGAGGAAGGGGUUUAGCAAAAGUGGGUGAUCGCUGGGAAGGUUUUACACCGUAAGAUCUUCCAUAUUCAGACGAUUGAAAGUGCCCUAAGGCCGGCGUGGGGAAACCCCAAGGGAUUGUCCUUCCGGCCAGUGGGGAAGAACACGUUUGUGGCGGAGUUUGCGAAUUGCCGGGACCGUGAUCGCGUGUGGGAGGGGUCUCCGUGGCACGUUAGUCGGCAUGCAGUGAUUCUCUCUGAGUUUGAUGAGUGCAUGAGGCCGACAGAAUUAAGAUUUGACAAGCUUCAGUUGUGGGCUAGGGUUCCCAACCUUCCCUUCAACUUGCAGAACGAAACUUGGGGUCUGGCAAUUGCUAGACAUAUAGACAAGGUUGUUACCUCGAUACAGUUUGAUCCCGUGGGAGGUUUUCUGAGAGCAAGGGUGACCAUUGAUGUUAACAAACCACUAAGAAGAUGGAUUCUCAUCGACUCAGCAAGAAGGAAGAGUAGGGACUGGUAUGGUAUUCAGUAUGAACAUGUCUCGAAUUUAUGUUUUUCGUGUGGCCGCCUCGGCCACUCGGAUCUAGUUUGCCCUACACCGGGUACACGUGAUGACAAAGGGGAACUUCCAUUCAAAACCAGUCUUCGUUCUCCUGAAAUGUGGAGGGGUAAUGCCUCAAGUGAUAGGUCGUCUAAAGAGCCACAAAAUUAUUCUUCCAAACAGAAAGACGCUAACUCUUCAGGCAGUAGAACUGAUGGUAAUGCUAAGGUCAACUCUCCGGUGAAAAACAAAGGAAUACAGAAUAAGCAGAAGGGGGGUCCUCAUGCCAAUAUGGUAUAUCGUAGGGUGGAACUACAGGCGCUUCCAAGCACGGAAACACCAGCCUAUCUUGAUGAUGCGAAUACCGGGGCUGCUCCUACUGAUAUGAUUGUUUUCAAUGCUAAGAAAGGUGAGAGCUCGAGUGUUCCAGGUGGAGGAGGGGAGGCUUCGGCAACUGAAGCUAUCUCCAAGAAAAAGAAACUGACCCCUCCUUCAUCUGAAAAUUCGGCAGCGGCUGCUGGACAACCCUGCCGGAAGCAAUGAGAUGCUUAAGUUGGAACUGCCGGGGGCUUGGGAACCCCGAGGCAGUUCGUGAGCUUCACAAAGUUGUGAAGCAAGAAGGGCCUGCCUUACUUUUUGUUAUGGAGACAAAAAUAAGGGCGAAGAGGGUGGAAAGUUUACAGCACAGUCUAGGUUUUGCUGGUUGUUUGGCGGUGGACAGUGCGGGACUCAGUGGUGGCAUCGGGUUGUUUUGGUCAAGAGAUGUUACAGUUGAGUUAAGAAAUUUUAGUUCUGGCCACAUCGAUGUGGUGGUGCAGAAAGCUGAUCAGACCUCCUUGGUUUGGAGGUUUACGGGGUUCUACGGUGUCCCGAGAAGCGAGGACCGGCAUCAUAGCUAGAGAUGUUUGCAUAACUUGCAUGCAACACAACAUCAGGCUUGGCUCUGCUUGGGUGAUUUCAAGGAAACAUUAUAUGGUGCAGAACACUUUAGCAGAGCGAACAGGCCAGAGUGGCAAAUGCAUGCUUUUCGAGAAGCCCUCGAAGAUUGCUCCCUGCAAGACCUUAGUUGGACAGGGCUGCCAUAUACAUGGGAUAACAAGUAGAUGGGUGACUCUAAUGUUAAAGCCCGGCUGGACAGGGGUGUCGCUAAUGAGGCGUUCCUGCAAAUGUUUGACCUAACUAGAGUGCGACAUAUAAGCUCAGUGGAAUCUAAUCAUUGUUUUGUCUUGGUGGAGACCCGAGAGUCACAGUAUACAAGGGGGCCUAGACAAUUCCGAUACGAGGAUGUGUGGCACUCCCAUGCGGACUAUGAUAAAAUUGUCACUGAAGCUUGGCAACGAAAUCAUAGUGGUCAUGGACUUGCAGCGAUCACGAAUACUUUGCAGAAACUCCAAGGUGAACUUGGGGGGUGGAGUGCCCGAGAAUUCGGGUGCUUCACCAAGACGGUUCAGAAUUUGCAACGUAAACUUGAGCAGCUAAGGCACUGGUCUAUUGGCAGAGGCGCUUCAGAUGAGGAGAAAGCAACUGUGCUAAAGCUGCGGGAGGCUCUAAGACAGGAAGAAAUAUGGACGCGGCAGCGUUCUCGUGUUCCAUGGCUCCGACAAGGCGACCGCAACACUUCUUAUUUUCAUGCGCAAGCGGCACAAUGGAAGAGAAUGAACCGUAUUGCAAAUCUUCAGCGUGCUGAUGGCUCUGUCUACGCGUCUGAGGAAGAGGAUAGAGAGGAGGUUCAGUCAUUUUAUCAGUCGUUGUACACCUCACAAGGAUAUAAUGAUAUGUCUGAGCUAUUUUAGUUUGUACCAUCUCGUGUAACGUCAGAGAUGAAUCAACUUCUUGAUAAAAUGUUCGAGGCUGAUGAGGUGAAGACGACGGUAUUCCAAAUGGCAUCGUCCAAAAGCUCCUGGGGUCAACGGUUUUAGGGCUGGUUUCUUUCAAAGGCACUGGGAUCUUGUGAAGGCGGAUUUGGUGCCGGCGAUCCCGAGUUUUGUUAAUGGUGGAGAACUACUGAUGACCCACAAGUAUAGGGGGUCUAUCAUAGUCCUUUCGAUAAGUAAGAGUGUCGAACCCAACGAGGAGCGGAAGGAAAUGACAAGCGGUUUUCAGUAAGGUAUUCUCUGCAAGCACUGAAAUUGUAGGUAACAGGUAGUUUUGUGAUAAGAUAAUUCGUAACGGGUAAUAAGCAAUGAAAGUAAAUAAGGUGCAGCAAGGUGGCUCAAUCCUUUUUGUAGCAAAGGACAAGCCUGGACAAUUUAUUAUAAUGAGAAAAGCGCUACCGAGGACACAUGGGAAUUAUCGUCAAGCUAGUUUCAUCACGCUCAUAUGAUUCGUGUUCGUUACUUUGAUAAUUUGAUAUGUGGGUGGGCCGGUGCUUGGGUACUGCCCUUUCUUGGACAAGCAUCCCACUUAUGAUUAACCCCUAUUGCAAGCAUCUGCAACUACAAAAGAAGUAUUAAGGUAAACCUAACCAUAGCAUGAAACUAGUGGAUCCAAAUCAGCCCCUUACGAAGCAACGCAUAAACUAGGGUUUAAGCUUCUGUCACUCUAGCAACCCAUCAUAUACUUGUUACUUCCCAAUGCCUUCCUCUAGGCCCAAAUAAUGGUGAAGUGUCAUGUAGUCGACGUUCACAUAACACCACUAGAGGAGAGACAACAUACAUCUCAUCAAAAUAUCGAACGAAUACCAAAUUCACAUGACUACUAAUAGCAAGACUUCACCCAUGUCCUCAGGAACAAACUUAACUACUCACAAAGCAUAUUCAUGUUCAUAACCAGAGGAGUAUUAAUAUGCAUUAAGGAUCUAACAUAUGAUCUUCCACCAAGUAAACUAAUUAGCAUCAACUACAAGGAGUAAUCAACAGUACUAGCAACCCACAGGUACCAACUUGUGGUUUUGGAUACACGAUUGGAUACAAGAGAUGAACUAGGGUUUGAGAGGAGAUGGUGCUGGUGAAGAUGUUGAUGGAGAUUGACCCCCUCCCAAUGAGAGGAUCGUUGGUGAUGACAACGGUGAUGAUUUCCCCCUCCCGGAGGGAAGUUUCCCCGGUAGAACAGCUCCGCCGGAGCCCUAGAUUGGUUCCGCCAAGGUUCCGCCUCGUGGCGGCGGAGUUUCGUCCCGUAAGCUUGCUUAUGAUUUUUUUCCAGGGUAAAAGCCUUCAUAUAGCAGAAGAUGGGCACCGGAGGGCCACCAGGGGGCCACGAGACAGGGGGCACGCCCAGUAGGGGUGGGCGUGCCCCCCACCCUCGUGGCCAGGGUGGGGUGGCCCUUUGGUACUUUAUUUGCUCAAUAAUUCUUAUUAAAUCCAAAAAUGACUUUAGUGGGGUUUUAGGACUUUUGGAGCUGUGCAGAAUAGGUUUCCAAUAUUUGCUCCUUUUCCAGCCAGAAUCCCAGCUGCCGGCAUUCUCCCUCUCCAUGAUAAACCUUGUAAAAUAAGAGAGAAUAGCCAUAAGUAUUGUGACAUAACCUGUAAUAACAGCCCAUAAUGCAAUAAAUAUCAAUAUAAAAGCAUGAUGCAAAAUGGACGUAUUAACUCCCCCAAGCUUAGACCUCGCUUGUCCUCAAGCGGAAGCCAAUAUCGAGAAAUAUGUCCACAUGUUUAGAGAUAGAGGUGCCGAUAAAAAUAAAAUACGGGCAUGAGGGCAUCAUGAUCAUUCUUAUAACAGCAACAUAUAUAGAUUUUGUCAUAUGAUUUCUUAUUCUCAAGUAACAAUCUGUUCAGAAUGUCAAGUAUGGUUCAGAAACUUCAUUGAAAACUAGCAAACUAUAAUCUCAGUCAUUGAAGCAAUUGCAAGUUAUCAUAACAUCAGAAAGAGUCAAGAAUAGAGCUUUUCAGCAAGUCCACAUACUCAACUAUCAUAUAGUCUUCUACAAUUGCUAACACACAGAGAAAGAUAGGGGUUUAUAGUGUUGCCUCCCAACGUUUUACCUCAAGGGUAAUGUCAACAAUAAUAGUUCAUGCUAACGAACAUCCAAUUGGGUAUAUGUAUCAGGAUCUUUCCAACACGAGGUGCUUGCCAAAGGAUAAAAUGAAAAAGGGAAAGGUGUGAAGAUCACCUUGACUCUUGCAUAAAGUAAAAGACAUGAAGUAAAAGAUAGGCCCUUCGCAGAGGGAAGCAGAGGUUGUCAUGUGCUUUUAAGGUUGGAUACACAAAAUCUUAAUGCAAAAGAAAGUCACUUUAUAUUGCCACUUGUAUAUGGACCUUUAUUAUGCAGUCCGUCGCUUUUAUUGCUUCCAUAACAAGAUCAUAUAAAGCUUAUUUUCUCCGCACUAAUAAGUCAUGCAUAUUUAGAGAGCAAUUUUUAUUGCUUGCAACAUGACAACUUACUUGAAGGAUCUUACUCAAUCCAUAGGUAGGUAUGGUGGACUCUCAUGGAAAAACUGGGUUUAAGGAUAUUUGGAAGCACAAGUAGUAUCUCUACUUGGUGCAAGGAAUUUUUGGCUAGCAUGAGGGGGAAAGGCAAGCUCAACAUGUUUGAAUUAUCCAUGACAAUAUACUUUAACUGAGAUGCGAGAAAACAUAACCCAUUACGUUGUCUUCCUUGUCAACAUCAACUCUUUAGCAUGUCAUACUUUAAUGAGUGCUCACAAUCAUAAAAGAUGUCCAAGAUAGUAUAUUUAUAUGGGAAAACCUCUCUUUCUUUAUUGCUUCCUAUUAAUUGCAACAAUGACCAAAACUAUGUUUGCCAACUCUCAACAACUUUUAGCCUCAUACUUUCUAUAUGUGAAGUCAUUACUAUCCAUAAGAUCGAUAUGAACUCUUUUAUUUCUUUUUAUUUUCUUAAGAUCAUGGCAAGAUAGCAAAGCCCUUGACUCAACACUAAUCUUUAUUAUAUAUAUAGCUCACGGACUCGAUUACAUAAAGGGAUAACAAAAAAAAACUCAAAACUAAUUCAAACCAAGACUUUAUUCCACUAGAUCUAGAUAUUACCAAAAGGAUCGAACUAAGUAAAACGGUAAAGAUAGGAGUGUGAUGGUGAUACGAUACCGGGGCACCUCCCCCAAGCUUGGCAGUUGCCAAGGGGAGUGCCCAUACCCAUGUGAUUAUGUCCUCGGAGGUGGUGAAGAAGGAGUUGUUGAUGAUGUAGGCUUGCUCCUUAACUUGCGCUUGAGAAUGGAAUUUUGCUCCCUUAGAUCAUCGAUCUCCCGCUCAAGGCUUAAUAUCCUUUUGCAUAGUUCCUGUUUGUUUUCCUGCAAGAGAUGAAAAGGGAUAAACUCGGUCUAGGGCUUCUUUGCCCUAUCAGGGAGGCUUGAAUUUUUGAACUCCACGUGCAUAUCCCCAGGCUGAGGUAACGGGACUUCAUCUUUGUCUGAGCUCGUCUCCUUCUUUCCAUUAAGCUCAUAGUCUUCUUCCUCCUCAGUGGUCCAUCCACAAUGAUCUAAGUCCCUGUAGACUUUAGGGUCUGCGUGGUAAUCAACCACAUAGCUUUCUCCCUCCGAAUCUUGGGAUGACAUCCUGCUCUAAAUCUGUAACAAAAAUAGCUCGAAACAAAGACAAAGGAUUUUUGCGUGAUACGGCGGUCAAAACCUUCGGGAAUUAUAUAAUGAAUUUUUACCGACCAAAAGAAGUAACGUGCAAGAAAACGGAGUCCGGGAGGCACACGAGGUGCCCACGAGGCAGGGGGGCGCGCCCAGUAAGGGUGGGCGCGCCCUCCACCCUCGUGGAGGCCUAGUGUCCUUCCCAUAUUACUCCUUGCUUCCCUAAAUUUUCAAAUAUUCCAAAACGGAGAAAAAUUGCCAUUAGAACUGUUUUGGAGUCAGUUUACUUACCGUACCACAUACCUAUUCCUUUUCGGAGUCUGAAACAUUCUGGAAAGUGUCCCUUAUGUAUUCCUCCGGGGUUACGGUUUCGAUAAUAUUGGUUUCAACAUUUAUAGGAUUACCUGAGAUAUAAUGUUUGAUUCUUUGACCGUUCACCACCCUCGGACUUGUGCCUUCGAAGUUGUUGAUUUUUAUGGCACCAGAGCAAUAGACCUCUUCGAUAAUGUAAGGACCUUCCCAUUUAGAGAGAAGUUUUCCUGCAAAAAAUCUUAAACGAGAGUUGAAUAGCAACACAUAAUCACCUACGUUAAACACACGCUUUUGUGUCCUUUUGUCGUGCCAUAUUUUAACUUUUUCUUUAAAUAGCUUGGCAUUCUCAUAGGCUUGGGUUCUCCAUUCAUCAAGUGAGCUAAUCUCAAAUAACCUCUUCUCACCAGCAAGUUUGAAAUCAUAGUUGAGCUCUUUAAUGGCCCAAUAUGCCUUAUGUUCAAGUUCAAGAGGUAAAUAACACGCUUUUCCAUAAACCAUCUUAUACGGAGACAUACCCAUAGGAUUUUUAUAUGCAGUUCUAUAGGCCCAUAAUGCAUCAUCAAGUUUUUUGGACCAAUUCUUUCUAGAUCUAUUAACAGUCUUUUGCAAAAUUAAUUUUAGCUCUCUAUUACUCAAUUCUACUUGACCACUAGACUGUGGGUGAUAAGGAGAUGCAAUUAUAUGAUUAACAUCAUACUUAGCAAGCAUUUUACGGAAAGCACCAUGAAUAAAAUGUGAACCACCAUCAGUCAUGAGAUAUCUAGGAACUCCAAACCUCGGAAAAAUAACUUCUUUAAGCAUCUUAAUAGAGGUGUUAUGAUCAGCACUACUAGUUGGAAUAGCUUCUACCCACUUAGUAAUGUAACCAACAACAACUAAAAUAUGUGUGUAUCCAUUGGAGGCAGGAAAAGGUCCCAUAUUAUCAUCCAAGAGAUCUUUAACCAUAGCAAUACUAGGUUCAACUUUAAUUUGCUCAGGAGGUGUAUAUGUUCUUGUAUUACUGUUACAAACAACAGUUGAAGCUUUAGCAUGAUCCUUUAUUCUAACAGCAAAAGGUGGUUUCUCAACAUAAGUAGUAGGAACAAUAGGAUCAUUAUAAGUGAUAGUCUUUUCUUCAACUGUAAUAGGUGCAACCACUUUUACUUCAAUGGGAGGAUUAUAUUUAAACCACUUCUCCUUAGGGAGAUCAACGUGAGUAGCAAAAGAUUCACAGAAAGAAGCUACUAUCUCAGAGUCAAGUCCAUAUUUAGCGCUAAAUCCAUGAAAAGCAUCGGUAUCCAUAAAAGAUUUAACACAAUCAAACUUAGGUGUCAUACUUGACUCCUUACCAUCGUCGGAACCCCAAUAUUCAGAGUUGCGUUUAAUUCUUUCCAAUAAAUCCCACUUGAAUUCGGAUAGUCUUCAACAUAUAAGAACCAGCACAGGAAGUAUCGAGCAUGGUGCGAUCAUUGAGAGAAAGGCAAGCAUAAAAAUUUUGAAUAAUCAUUUCUCUUGAGAGCUCAUGAUUGGGGCAUGAAUAUAACAAUGACUUAAGCCUCCCCAAGCUUGAGCGAUGCUUUCUCCUUCGCGAGGCCAGAAAUUAUAUAUGUAAUUUCGAUCACGAUGAACAAGAUGCAUAGGAUAGAACUUCUGGUGAAAUUCCAACUUCAAUCAUUUAUAAUUCCAAGAUCCCAUAUCAUCACAUAGCCUAUACCAUGUCAAUGCGUCUCCCUUCAAAGAUAAAGGGAAGACCUUCCUCUUGACAACAUCAUCGGGAAUACCUGCAAGAUUAAAUAAUCCACAAACUUCAUCCACAAAGAUAAGGUGUAAAUCGGGAUGCAAUGUUCCAUCUCCUGCAAAAGGAUUAACUAGCAGUUUCUCUAUCAUACCCGAAGGAAUUUCAAAGUGAACAUUUUCAGUAGGUUUAGUAGGUUGAGGAGCAACUCUUUGCUCUACUGGUCGGGGAGAAGAUGCCCCGAACAAGCCUCUCAAAGGAUUAGUUUCCAUAGUAACAAGUGACAGAAAAUUUCAGCACACUAUAUAAAUGUUUCCUUACCAAGUUCCACUCACCAAAGGCGCUUCACUCCCGGCAACGGUGCCAGAAAAGAGUCUUGAUGACCCAAAAGUAUAGGGGAUCUAUUGUAGUCCUUUCAAUAAUUAAGAGUGUCGCACCAACAAGGAGCAGAAGGAAAUGACAAGCAGUUUUCAGUAAGGCAUUCUCUGCAAGCACUGAAAUUGUAGGUAACAGGUAGUUUUGUGAUAAGAUAAUUCGUAAUGGGUAACAAGCAAUGAAAGUAAAUAAGGUGCAGCAAGGUGUCCCAAUCCUUUUUGUAGCAAAGGACAAGCCUGGACAAUUUCUUAUAAUGAGAAAAGCGCUCCGGAGGACACAUGGGAAUUAUCGUCAAGCUAGUUUCAUCACGCUCAUAUGAUUCGUGUUCGUUACUUUGAUAAUUUGACAUGCUGGUGGACCGGUGCUUGGGUACCGCCCUUUCUUGGACAAGCAUCCCACUUAUGAUUAACCCCUAUUGCUAGCAUCUGCAACUACAAAAGAAGUAUUAAGGUAAACCUAACCAUAGCAUGAAACUAGUGGAUCCAAAUCAGCCCCUUACGAAGCAACGCAUAAACUAGGGUUUAAGCUUCUGUCACUCUAGCAACCCAUCAUCUACUUGUUACUUCCCAAUGCCUUCCUCUAGGCCCAAAUAAUGGUGAAGUUUCAUGUAGUCGACGUUCACAUAACACCACUAGAGGAGAGACAACAUACAUCUCAUCAAAAUAUCAAACGAAUACCAAAUUCACAUGACUACUAAUAGCAAGACUUCACCCAUGUCCUCAGGAACAAACGUAACUACUCACAAAGCAUAUUCAUGUUCAUAAUCAGAGGAGUAUUAAUAUGCAUUAAGGAUCUGAACAUAUGAUCUCCACCAAGUAAACCAAUUAGCAUCAACUUCAAGGAGUAAUCAACAGUACUAGCAACCCACAGCUACCAAUUUGUGGUUUUGGAUACAAGAUUGGAUACAAGAGAUGAACUAGGGUUUGAGAGGAGAUGGUGCUGGUGAAGAUGUUGAUGGAGAUUGACCCCCUCCCGAUGAGAGGAUCGUUGGUGAUGACGACGGUGAUGAUUUCCCCCUCCCGGAGGGAAGUUUCCCCGGCAGAACAGCUCCGCCGGAGCCCUAGAUUGGUUCUACCAAGGUUCCACCUCGUGGCGGCGGAGUUUCGUCCUGUAAGCUUGCUUAUGAUUUUUUUUCCAGGGUAAAAGCCUUCAUAUAGCAGAAGAUGGGCACCGGAGGGCCACCAGGGGGCCCACGAGACAGGGGGACGCGCCCAGUAGGGGUGGGCGUGCCCCCCACCCUCAUGGCCAGGGUGGGGGGCCCCUCUGGUACUUCCUUUGCUCAAUAAUUCUUAUUAAAUCCAAAAAUGACUUUCGUGGGGUUUCAGGACUUUUGGAGCUGUGCAUAAUAGGUUUCCAAUAUUUGCUCAUUUUCUAGCCAGAAUCCCAGCUGCCGGCAUUCUCCCUCUCCAUGAUAAACCUUGUAAAAUAAGAGAGAAUAGAUAUAAGUAUUGUGACAUAACAUGUAAUAACAGUCCAUAAUGCAAUAAAUAUCGAUAUAAAAGCAUGAUGCAAAAUGGACGUGUCAUCUACCUAUGGGUUUUAAUGAUACAUCUAUUAUUCUUAUACCAAAGGUACGUCAUCCACAGUCUAUAACAUAGUACAUACCCAUCUCUUUGUGUCCAGUGCCAUACAAAAUUGCUUCUAAAAUGAUCACUAAUCGAUUCAAAUAGUUGAUGGAUACAAUGGUGGGAGAAGAAUAGAGUGCUUUCGUCCCCGGGCGUCUGAUCACGGACAAUGUCUUAGUGGCCUUCGAGAGUAUUCACUCCAUGAAAAGGCGAAAGAAGGGGAAGAACUAUUCUUGUGCAGUCAAACUAGACAUUAUGAAAGCCUACGAUAGGGUUGACUGGCAUUAUCUGCAGGCUAUUAUUGAAGCUUGGCUUUAGUACAUCCUUUGUGAGUUUGGUUAUGAAAUGUGUUUCAUCUGUCAGGUUCACAGUCAGAGUAAAUGGGGAGCUCCUACCUUAUUUCACACCUUCUAGGGGUUUUCGCCAAGGCUACCCCAUGUCUCCCUUUUUGCUCCUUUUGUGUGCAGAAGGCCUCACGUCCUUGCUUAACUAUUAUGAAAUUCUGCACAUUGACAGAGGCAUACGAGUGUCCUUCCGAUCACCAUGGGUUAACCAUUUGCUUUUUGCCGAUGACAGCCUUAUCUUCAUCAGUGCAUCAAUGGAUAGUGCUUAGAGAUUGAACAGAAUUAUACAUAUUUGUGGUGAAUGUUUAGGUCAAGCAGUAAAUCGUGACAAAAGGGCAGUUUUCUUCUCUCCCAAUACGCCAACAGAUAGGAGACAGGAGGUGAAAACGGUUUUGGGAAUUCUGGUGGAGGCUUUCAGCAACAGAUAUCUUGGUCUUCCGACGGCGGUGGGGAGGAUUACUAGUGGCACGUUCGAUCACAUUGGUGACAGAUCGAGGAGUAAGAUGGGUGGUUAUGCUGAGUGUUUGUUGGCUUGUGCUGGUCGAGAGAUGCUACUUAAAUCCAAUAUUCAAGCAUUACCAACCUUCAGCAUGAGCUGCUGAUACGUCUCCAACGUAUCUAUAAUUUUUGAUUGUUCCAUGCUAUUAUAUUACCUGUUUUGGGUGUUUAUGGGCUUUACUUUACACUUUUAUAUCAUUUUUGGGACUAACCUACUAACCGGAGGCCAAACCCGAAUUGCUGUUUUUUUGCCUAUUUCAGUAUAUCGAAGGAAAGGAAUAUCAAAUGGAGUGCAAACGGAAUGAAACCUUCGGGAGCGAUCUUUUUGGAACAAAUGCAAUCCAGGAGACUUGGAGUGGACGUCAAGAAGCAACCGAGGAGGCCACGAGGGUGGCCGGUGCGCCUAGUAAGGGUGGGCGCGCCCCCUGCCUCGUGGGCCCCUCGUGGCUCCCCUGACCGACUUCCUUCGCCUAUAUAUAUAUCUACGUACCCCGAAAACAUCUAGGAGCACCACAAAAACCUAAUUCCACCGCCACAACCUUCUGUAUCUGCAAGAUCCCAUCUCGGAGCCUUCAUCGGCACUCCGCCGGAGGGGAAUCGACCACGGCGAGGGCCUCUCCAUCACCACCAAGGCCUCUCCGAUGAGUUGCGAGUAGUUUAUCACAGACCUUCGGGUCCAUAGUUAUUAGCUAGAUGGAUUCUUCUCUCUAUUUGAUUCUCAAUACAAAGUUCUCCUUCCUCUUCUUGGAGAUCUAUUCGAUGUAACUCUUUUUGCGGUGUGUUUAUCGAGAUCUGAUGAAUUGUGGGUUUAUGAUCAAGUUUAUCUAUGAGAAAUAUUUGAAUCUCCUCUGAAUUCUUUUAUGUAUGAUUGGUUAUCUUUGCAAGUCUCUUCGAAUUAUCAGUUUUGUUUAGCCUACUAGAUUGAUCUUUCUUGUCAUGGGAGAAGUGCUUAGCUUUGGGUUCAAUCUUGCGGUGUCCUUUCCCAAUGACAGUAGGGGCAACAAGGCACGUAUUGUAUUGUUGCCAUCGAGGAUAAAAAGAUGGGUUUUAUAUCAUAUUGCAUGAGUUUAUCCCUCUAGAUCAUGUCAUCUUGCUUAAUGCGUUACUCUGUUCUUAUGAACUUAAUACUCUAGAUGCAGGCAGGAGUCGGUUGAUGUGUGGAGUAAUAGUAGUAGAUGCAGGCAGGAGUCGGUCUACUUGUUGCGGACAUGAUGCCUAUAUACAUGAUCAUGCCUAGAUAUUCUCAUAACUAUGCACCUUUCUAUCAAUUGCUCGACAGUAAUUUGUUCACCCACCGUAAUACUUAUCCUAUCUUGAGAGAAGCCACUAGUGAAACCUAUGGCCCCCGGGUCUAUCUUUUACCAUAUAAGUUUUCCAUCUACUUUUAUUUGCAUCUUUUACUUUCCAAUCUAUAUCAUAAAAAUACCAAAAAUAUUUAUCUUAUCAUAUUAUCUCUAUCAGAUCUCACUUUCGCAAGUUACCAUGAAGGGAUUGACAACCCCUUUAUCGCGUUGGUUGCGAGGUUCUUGUUUGUUUGUGUCGGUGCAUGGGACUUUUGAGGAGCCUCUGUAGGAUCGGAAGUAUGUCUAGAGGGGGGGGGGUGAUUAGACUACUUGACCAAAUAAAAACUUAUCCUUUUCCCAAUUUUAGUCUUUGGCAGAUUUUAGCUAUCUUAGCACAAGUCAAGCAAUCUUCACACAAUUCAAGCAAGCAUGCAAAGAGUAUAUGAGCAGCGCAAAAUAAAGCAUGCAACUUGCAAGAAUGUAAAGGGAAGGGUUUGGAGAUUUCAAACGCAAUUUGGAGACACGGUGAUUUUUGAGCCGUGGUUCCGAUAGGUGGUGCUAUCGUACAUCCACGUUGAUGGAGACUUCAACCCACGAAGGGUAACAGUUGCGCGAGUCCACGGAGGGCUCCAGCCACGAAGGGUCCAUGAAGAAGCAACCUUGUCUAUCCCAGCAUGGCCGUCGCCCACGAAGGACUUGCCUCACUAGCGGUAGAUCUUCACGAAGUAGGCGAUCUCCUUGCCCUUACAAACUCCUUGGUUCAACUCCAAAAUCUUGUCGGAGGCUCCCAAGUGACACCUAGCCAAUCUAGGAGACACCACUCUCCAAGAAGUAACAAAUGGUGUGUUGAUGAUGAACUCCUUGCUCUUGUGCUUCAAAUGAUAGUCUCCCCAACACUCAACUCUCUCUCACAGGAUUUGGAUUUGGUGGAAAGAAGAUUUGAGUGGAAAGCAACUUGGGGAAGGCUAGAGAUCAAGAUUCAUAUGAUAGGAAUGGAAUAUCUUGGCCUCAACACAUGAGUAGGUGGUUCUCUCUCAGAAACGGUAAGUUGGAACUGUAGGUUUGUUCUGAUGGCUCUCUCCACGAAUGAAGAGGAGGUGGAGGGGUAUAUAUAGCCUCCACACAAAAUCUAACCGUUACACACAAUCUACCAAUCUCGGUGGGACAGAAUCAACAAACUUGGUCAGACCGAUUUAGUAAACCUAGUGACCGUUAGGAUUUUCGGUGGGACUGACAUGCAAUUCGGUAGGACCGAUAUGGUUAGGGUUAGGGCAUAACGUAAUCUCAGUGAGACCGAUUACACAAACUCGGUUAGACCGAUUUUGGUAAUAAGCUAACCAGAGAGUUGGUCAGGUAAACUCGGUGGGACCGGUUCGCUCAUUUCGGUGGGACCGAAAUGUUACGGAAAGGAAACAGAGAGUUUACAUUGCAAUCUCGGUGGGACCGAUCUCUCAUCUUGGUGGUACCAAAACAUUACGAAGGGAAACAGAGAGAUUACAAUCCCAUCUCGGUGAGACCGAGAUCCCUAUCGGUGAGACCGAUUUGCCUAGGGUUUGUGGCAGUGGCUAUGACAUCUGAACUCGGUGGCGCCGGAUAGAAAGAAUCGGUGGGGCCGAGUUUGACUUUUGGUUUUGGUCAUAUGUGGAUAUGAGAAAGUAUUUGAGGGUAUUUGGAGCAUAUCACUAAGCACUGUGGAGCAAGAAACUCAUUAAACAACACCUCAUCCCUCCUUGAUAGUAUUGGCUUUUCCUUUAGACUCAAUGUGAUCUUGGAUCACUAAAAUAUAAAAUGUAGAGUCUUGAGCUUUUGAGCUUGAGCCAAUCCUUUUAUCCUUAGUAUUUUGAGGGAUCCACUUUCCUCAUCCAUGCCAUGCCAUUCAUUGAGCUUUUCCUGAAAUGUUCAUCUUGGAAUGAUGUUAGCUCAAUAAGCUAUAUGUUGUUAGGAAUUACCAAAACCACCUAGGGAUAGUUUCACUUUCAAUCUCCCCCUUUUUGGUAAUUGAUGACAACAUAUAGAUCAAAGCUUUGACAAAUAAUAAUAAGAGUGAAAAACAUUGUCGCUUUGAGAAGUAUGUGAUAAGCAAGAGCUCCCCCUAAAUUUGUGCAUAGAUUAAGAUUUGCUUUGGACUGCAAAUGCACAAGGAGUUAGGCUCAUGGGUUACUCUUCCAUGUCACAUACAUAUUAGUGGAGCGCUCAAAAUAAUAAAGAUCGAAUAUAUGCACUCAUCACCAAGCAAAGUGAAUGGUCAUAUAGAGAUCAAUGAGAUAAUGUCAUCCAACAAGCAUAAAUGUAGCAUCUGAUCAAACACAUGAUCAUCCAGGUAUCACACAGACGUAAAGUAUCUCAAACAAGCAAAUAAAGUUCAACCACCAAAGCAAGAGAGAACAAAAAGCAACACUCUCUCUCGAAGCCUAUGAUCUAUACAUUUUUCUCCCCCUUUGGCAACAAGUUACCAAAAGUUCAUAGAAAAAGCAUAGUACUAAAUCGACUCUCAGGCUUGAUCUUCUGGUGGUGGUGUAGAGAUGGCUCGUUGGACGAAGACUUCAGUUGAUGUGGAUGGAGCUGGAGGUGUAGAUGCUGGAGCUGGUUGCACUGGAGCUGUAGGAGCUGUAGCUGGUGCAGAUGAAGUGGCUCUGGUGUCUGUCACUGGCACUGUAACUGAUCUCUGAGCUCUAGGCACUCUGGCAAAUGCACCAGUGGUUUUCUUGCCCUUCCUCUCCUGCAUAUCAUCCUAAAGCUGCUCAACAAUAGACUAGAUCUCAGUUACCUUCACAUCCAAGUCAUAGAACUUCUGCUCCAUGAUCCUCUCCAGGCUCUCCCGGUUUUGAGUCAAGGUGGCCAGCCCCUUCUCAAUCCUCAGAGUGGAUGCAAUCAAGUAGCCUAGUUGAUCUUGUUUGCUCUUCAAAAAGUACUGAGAUGCCUCUUCCAUUGUUGGCAUCUUGGUAGCCUUGUUUGUCCUAGCCUUCUCCUUCUUUGCUUGAGCAUGCACAGAAGAUGGUUCAUUUUCAUCCAUUACCACUUGGUUAUCCUCAAAGUCUGGAAAGAUAGGCAUGUGUUCCUUGUCCAACAAGUAUGUGCCUAUGCCCAUCUUGGAGUUAAUCAGCUCCUGGAUCUGUGGGGCAUACCCACAGCUUCUCUUCUGGUCAACUGCUGUCCUCUUGAUAGUCUCAACUAUGAGGCUCAUGACCUUGAACUUCUGUGGCACAUAAAAUAUGUGUAGCAAGUUUAUUCCAUGGCCUCUGAUCAUGUUGUGGUCACCUGACUUGGGCAAGAGAGUAUGCCUGAGGAUCCAGUUGAUGGUUGGCAGUCCUGACAGAAGAUAAUGUAUAGGUCCAAACUUAUGAGUUUCAAGCGCUUUAUCUGGGAUCUCCUUGUACAUGUGUGCCAUAGAAUUGUGAUCCUUCUUCUUCUUGGCAUAGACAUCCAAGUCAUCUUCUUUCUCCUUAGGUGCAUUGAUCAGAUUUUUCCAUUCUUCAAUAGUUGAUUGGUAUCUAGUACCUUCAGACAUCCAUACUAUCAUGCCAUCUGGAUAGAAGUGUGUUGUGGAGUAGAAUUGCAUUAUGAGCUCAUCAUUCCACUUUGUGAACUUCUGUCCAACAAAGUCUGCAACUCCACAAGCACUGAAACUGUCAUACACACCAGGAUAGUGUUCCUCAUUCUCCUUCAUGUAUUUCCAGUCCACCCACCUCAUGUCACAUACAAUAGGUUUCUUGUCCAGGAGCACAGUCUCAUAGAAAUCCUGCUGUUCCUUAGUGUGGAACCUGUAGUCAACAGCAGUCCUUCUCCUGAUAGCAUAAGGAUUAGACAACCUCCACUAUCUGGGUCCUGCAUCCUUCCUCAGCUUCAUGUUCUCAGCCACAUGAUGAUCAUCAUUGUGGUCUGAAAUCUUUGGCUUCAACUUUCUCAAGAUAUGCUCUUCAUCAUCUUCUUCUUCAGCAACAACUUCAGGCACUGGGGCCUUGUUCUUCUCAGCAGUUGGUAUGUUUCUGGUAUUCCUCUUAGGUGCAGUCUUGGGCUUGGAGGCAGCUUUAGGUGCUUCUUUGGGCUUUGAUGAUGCAGCCCCUGACCUAAUAGCAUCACCCAUAAGCUUUUGAGCCUUGGGUGCUGGAGCAGCAGCAUCUUCUUCCUCUUCCUCUUCAGAGUCUCUCCUCAUAGAGGGAUUGCCAAGGACUUUGGCAGUAGUGGUUCUGACUCUCUUUUUCUUUUUGUCUUGACCAACAGCUUCAUCUUCUGACUCAAUAGUAAACUUCAUGGUUUCUCCAGUGGCAACCUUCCUAGGUUUGGAAGUGGGAAUCCUCUUUGCAGGUGCCUUCUUCUGCACUCCUGGCUUAGUGGUUGCAGUUGUGCCAUACUCCUUUUUGAGCACUUUCUUCUUGGAAGUGGCCUCAUCCUCAACUGCCACAUAGUCUUCAUCCUCAGAGUCUGAGGUUCUCUUCUUUCUGGCCCUGGUGGUAGCUUUGGGAAAGUUGCUUGGGGUGCUCCUACUGCCAUCAUCUGAGGUGCUAGAGGGACUAGUGCCCUCACUCAUGUGAAUCUGCUCCUCUGGCUGGUUCGGGCUGUCACUUUGAUCAGACAUGCUGCAAACACUGACUGCUGACCCUGUGAAUAGAUGUAGAUGAGAUAGAUAGGAUAAGCAUCAUAAAAUACAGAGGUUUUUGCAAAAGAAUGAUUUAAAAACUUAGUUUUAGUUUUCCACAGAAAGCAUUUCGGAUCAACCGAUUUGUGAACUCGGUGAUACCGAAGCAGCUUUUGGAACCUAAACUAGUGAACUCGGUCAGACCGAGUCAUAGUUCGAUGGCACCAGGACUGCUAGGGUUUCACAAAGUCCUGAACUCGGUCACACCAAUUUGCAAUUCUCGGUCAAACCGAGAAUCACUUGUGCAAUGGCCUUAGCCGAAUCGGUGGAACCGAGUUCUACAACUCGGUGGGUCCGAGAUGGUUUCGGCGGAAACCUAACCCUAAAUUUCCAAUUCACUUCUAAUCUAUGGAUUGUUUUGACUCGAUAGAAUCGUUUGAAUCAUGGCAAGAAUUAUGAAGAACACAAUGUGCUAGGAAUCGGACAGGGAUAGCACUGUGAUCGAGUCCAUACCCUAGCUUGGUGAUGAACUCGCUACGGCGGCAACGGCGGGGUUGAAUUCCGUUGACGGUGGUGGAGACCAGCGACUGGAGGCGGCUGGUGACGAAGAGGACGAUUCGGAGACCCUGGAGGCAGAGCGAGCUAUGCGCAGGCGAAGAGGUUUGGAGAAAGUUUCCAAAUUUUUGCCCGUGAGUAUAUAUAGCCCGACCCUGUCGGUGUGACCGAGUGGAACAACUCGGUGGCACUGAGAUGCAUAACUAUUGACAGUUACAGCAACUCAGUGAGACUGAAAUGUUCAAAUUGGUUGCACCGAGAUUGAAAACCUAGAUCGACUUAGUGAUCUCGGUAUGACCAAAAUGGAAGUAUCGGUCAGACCGAAACGCACAAAGAAGUUUUGGAAGUUUAAGUCUAUGACGAAUCGGGGACUCCGAGUGCUCCUCACACAGAGUGGUUCGAAUUUGACUUGAUCAAAUUUUGUGAUGUAGCAUGAAUAGAGUUUGAGACAAGAAAAGCAUAGAUAGCUAGAGAAGGUUCUUAGGCAUUCUUGUUCAUCCACUUGGCAAAAGAAUAAGAAGCCAAUCAAUCAAAGCAACAAGUGGAUGUCCUCGAAUGAGUUAAAUAUGCAACCAACAUGCUCACACAAUAAAAUGGCAAAUGAAAUAUGUGGCAAAGCAUGCACAGCCAAUUCUAGCAUUUAUCAAACAAUUGGCGAUGACUAGGUCAUCUAUAUAUGAGUAUAUUGAAUUAGGAGUCAAAUGAGAACAUUUGAUCAUAGGUCAUACUCAUCGUUUAAGCUCAAGUGGGGUUACCACUUUUACAUAAUGCAUUGAUGUGUUCACACCAUUAGAGUUGCUUUGACUCAAUUCUUAGAGUUAAGAUCCCCCUAGAUGUGAGAUCCCCCCUUAGAGGGAUGAACUAACCUUGGGUUUUGUCGAUGAUGAAUUCAUGUAGGUGUUGAAGAUGUGGAUGCUCAAAUUUGAUGAAGAUCAUUUGGAGCAAUCCUUUGGAGUGACUUGUACUUUCAAUACCUACACGGGUUAGUCCCACAAGGAACAAACAAGUAUAUACAUAGACAUAGAGUGAUGCACACUCAAGAUGAUGUCCAUGAAAGCAUUAGGUUACCUUGUCCCUUGUCUUACCAACAAGAGGGUUUGUGACUCCUUGAACUAGUGCAAGAUGUGGAAGUUGAUCGCACUUGUUGUUGCCAAAAAGAUAUGAGUGAAGUGUGUUGGCGGAGUCACCCUCAAGAACUCUCUAGUUCUUCUUCUUCGGGAUCCACAUCAUCUUGAUGGGAAUCCUUGGAGUUGUAGUCGUACUUGAUGAAGUAGAACUUGAAGUAGUCUUGGGAACCCACUUGACCAAGGCCUUAGGAGCUUCUUCAAAUGCAUCAAUCUCCUCUUGAAGCUUGUCCUUGACUUUUUGCUUGUAGUCUUGUGGUGGAAGAUCAUCUUGAGCUUGUGUCCCCUUGAAGGAAGUAGGAUCAUACUUAUCUUGUUGAGGAACAAACUUAGUCUUGGGAUAUUGAUCUUCUUCCCACUCAACUCCAUUGGCAUUGAACUUUCGUUCAAAACCAACACCUUGGUUCUUCCGGUGCCUUCCUUGCUUGCGUACAAUUUCCUCAAAUUGCUUACUCCCGACAAGGCUCUUGUAAACACCUUUCUCUAUAAUUCCCUUCAACAAGCUAUUUUCUUGCUCAAGAGUAACUUGGCUAAGAGAAUCAUUAGUGGAAUCAAGCGAACUACUAGAAGCAACAAUAUUGGAUUUAGCAUUAUUAUUGUUACUACUAGAGGAAGAAUCCUUCUUGUUUUUGUUAAUGGACUUGACUUGAGGCAUGUAAGUAGAUAAGAGUAAACGCUUGGCAAUGUAAGAAGAACUUUUCUUACGAAGAUCAUCAUUGAUUGCCUUUAAGAACUCAUGCUCUUGCUCAAGGUUGAGCUUCUCAAAGCGUAAUUUCUCAUGAGUCCUUAAAAGUUCUCAAUGAUCUUCUAAGAUAGUUUCAUGAGCUAACUUAAGAGUGUUUAAUUCUUUAGUAAGAAGCUCAAUCUUCUCCUUAUCAUUGUCAUUCGUUUUAUCUUGAUUAACAUGAUUAAUUGAUGUUUCAUCAUAGUAUUCAUCACUAGAGUUGUCAACAAGUAAAUCAUAAUCACCUAACAAGUCAUCUUCAUCACUAUUGAAAUCAACAUACUCGGGGUGUGUUACCUUAGGGCCUUUAGCCAUGAAGCAUCUUCCAAGUCCUUCAUUUGGUGAAUCAAAUAUGUCGUAGGAGUUGGUUGACACAAGUGCUAGACCGGCAACACCUUCAUCUUGAGUAUGUUUGGAGUCGGAGUGAUAGCUUCUCUCGGAGUGUUUGUCGGAGUCGGAGCCGGAUACCCAUUCACCAACAUGAGCUUGAUGUCUUUGUUUUGUGUAGAUCCUUGAUGACUUGUCCUUCCUUUCCGAAUCCUUGCUUCUCCGGGAUGUUCUUCAUUCAUAACAAUCAUCUCUACUCCUCCUCUCUCUUGGUGGUGAUUCUUAUCUUCUGCUUCUCUUCUUGGGUGAUUCUUCUCUUCUUUUGUGGGGUGUUGUACACUCAUUGGAAUAGUGUCCGGGUCUCCCACAAUUGUAGCAAUUGCGCUCUCAACUAGAAGAUCUUUUGUCGUUGUAGGACCUUGACUUGGAGCUUCUCUCUUUGCUUCUACUUUGUAGAAUUUGUUGAAGUUCUUCACCAUUAAGCUCAAUUCAUCAUUGAAGGUUUGUUUCUCACUUGAUGAUGUAGGGGCUUCACAUGAGGCUUUGUAAGCACGACUUGACUUGUUGUGAAGUUCCUCCUUAUCCUUGAGUGACAUCUCAUGAGCAACAAUUCUUCCAAUGACCUCCGUUGGCUUGAGAUUCUUGUAAUUGGGCAUCAUUUGGAUCAAUGUGCACACGGUAUCAUAUUUUCCAUCCAAUGCUCUUAGGUUCUUUUUGAUGACGAAUUUGUCGGUCAUCUCUUCACUUCCUAAGCCCGCAAUCUCAUUUGUGAUAAGAGCAAGCCUAGAGUACAUUUCAGCGACACCUUCACCAUCCUUCAUUUUGAACUUGUCAAGUUGACUUUGGAGCACAUCCAACUUGGAUUCCUUGACGGAGUCGGUACCUUCAUGCAUAUCAAUCAAAGUAUGCCAAAUUUCCUUUGCAUUCUCAAGACGGCUGAUUUUGUUGAAUUCUUCGAGGCACAAUCCAUUGAAGAGGAUAUCACAAGCUUGAGCGUUGUAUUGCAGCAUCUUCAACUCAUCAGCGCUAGCUUCACGAUUUGGUUCUCUCCCAUCAAAGAAUUCACCUUGCAAGCCAAUACACACAAUAGCCCAAACGGCGGGGUUAUGUCCAAGAAUACGCAUUUUUAUCUUAUGCUUCCAACUAGCAAAAUUCGUACCAUCAAAGUAAGGACCUCUACGGUGAUAAUUCCCCUCGCUAGAUGCCAUACUCUCCUAGGUUGUGAAACCAAAGCUAUGACAACCAAAAGCUAUGGAAAUCAAAUCAAAUGGAGACCAAAGCUCUGAUACCACUUGUAGGAUCGGAAGUAUGUCUAGAGGGGGGGGUGAUUAGACUACUUGACCAAAUAAAAACUUAUCCUUUUCCCAAUUUUAGUCUUUGGCAGAUUUUAGCUAUCUUAGCACAAGUCAAGCAAUCUUCACACAAUUCAAGCAAGCAUGCAAAGAGUAUAUGAGGAGCGUAAAAUAAAGCAUGCAACUUGCAAGAAUGUAAAGGGAAGGGUUUGGAGAUUUCAAACGCAAUUUGGAGACACGGUGAUUUUUGAGCCGUGGAUCCGAUAGGUGGUGUUAUCGUACAUCCACGUUGAUGGAGACUUCAACCCACGAAGGGUAACGGUUGCGCGAGUCCACGGAGGGCUCCACCCAUGAAGGGUCCAUGAAGAAGCAACCUUGUCUAUCCCACCAUGGCCGUCGCCCACGAAGGACUUGCCUCACCAGCGGUAGAUCUUCACGAAGUGUAGCGACCCGACCUCAAACGGUCAAGUCUCUGUACAUCAGUGUCAUCCCUGGAUCAGUAAUGCUGACACGCAUAGUACUCGAAGGAUUUAUAACAGAGUAGCAAUCACACACUCAUUACAUCAAAUGUCUCAAAAGAGAACUUAUUACAAUAAUAUGGCUUAAGGCCAUCUAAAUGCGAUAACAGCGGAAGGCUUGGAGGAUAAAGUGAGUCCAUCAACUCCAACGGCAUAGGUGAGCUGCACGACAACGACCUAACGAACCUUACUCCUCGUUUGAAAAAUCUGCAACAUAAUACGUUGCAACCCGAAAACGGGUCAGCACAUGGAAUAUGCUGGCAAUAUAACACAGUAGAGCAAGAACAGAAUAAUGCUAUCACUACAUGCAUAUAUGGCUGGUGGAAAGCUCUAUGGUUAUAGUUUUGCGAAAAGCAAAUUUUUUCCUACAACAAAGGAAUAGAUUUUAAUUUAACUAUCACGGUGGUUGAACAACAUUGAGAAGGUAACCCCAACUCAAUCCCAAUUAAAGUGAUUAACAACCCAACAAUAUUAAUUAAGAGUGAUGAGAUACUUAAGAUAGCCCAAGUACUAGAUACUCAAGAAUUGUCCAUAACCAGGGACACGACUAACCAUGAUUAGAUUGUACACACUGCAGAGGUUUGCGCACUUUUCCCCACAAGACUCGAUCGCCUCUGUUGAUUUCUCGCACUGCAUGGUGUUUGAGAAACGGAUGACCGAGACAUAGUCUUUGAGAAACAUUAACUCCCUACUCUGGGUAGACCAUACCAAACCUACAAAACCCACUACCUGCUGAUCUACCUCUUCGAGAGCUUCACGUAACUUACUCAGCUAUGCUAGAGCCCAUAAUAGCUUGUGGCUGCACACGGAAGUUUCUAGCAUGAAUAAUCUCAGUUCCCUUUGAGCCUGGGUGGCGGUCCAUAGGAAGAUCACACGGUUACCCCGGGAUUUCAAAAAAAAAAACUGACAACACUGGGUUCCCCAGGUGCCUCAAUCCACCCAGAUGUGUAUUAAAGUUGCCACCUUAAGUUGAACCAUUAAUUAACAAUCUCACAUCUGUUAUGGAUACACUCAAACCCAAUCCAUGUCUACGAGCAUAUCAUGGCAAUAUAUAAGCAACGCGUAGAAGUAACUCCCAAGGGUUUGAUAUAACAGGGCGAUAGGUUCUACCUCAUCAACAACUUCCCAAUACACUCAAGUUAAAGACAUCCUAAUCAUGCAAUGUUUGAGCAUGGAACUAAUGCAAUAAAACUGGGUACGAAAAGAGUAUGAUCAAUGUGUUACUUGCCUUGCUGACGAUCCGUGAAUCCUAGAGACUCGUAGUAACACGCUUCGCACUCCAGGAAUUCUAUCACAAACAAACAAUAACAUACAUAAGAAACUAGCAACAAUGCACAAACAAAACUUCAAACAAAAGUGAAUGACCAGAAAUUUCAACUUAAGAACUCUGGUUUGCAAAAAGAAUCAAAUCAAACGGAGCAACGAAACUCAAACGGCGAAAGAAACAAGAUCCGUUUACUAAUAUGAACUAAAGUCAAAUUUUACAGUAUCAAAAUCUUGUUUAAGUUGAUUAAACAGAAAGAGGGUCUCGAUACGAAACUCUAGGCGUUUGAAUCACCUGAUUCCGACUAACGAGCUCGAAGAAAAACAGAAAGUAAGAUCGGAUCAGAAAUCGCGACAGAAAAAUAAUCGCAGAUAAAUCCGAUAAAAGAAAACUGACGAACAGGCUAACGAACGAGCAUUCAUUAUCUGUAACUAACGGAAGAAAAUCGUUCGUUUAAAUGAACGUACAGACGAACGUCUGCUAAAUAGAGGAACCGCGAAAAACCGGUGAACCGAUCUAAAAAAUCGAACUAGGGUUUCUAAAAAAACCGAACGGUUUUUAAAAAAAGAACCGGCGGCUCGAAUCCGGUUCUGUACCUCCGGCGAGGGGCUCCGGCGAGGCGAGGUGGGGCAGCGGGGCGGCGGCUUGCGGCGACGGGGAUCGGUAGCGGCGCGGCAAGCGGCGGCGGUGGCGCUCGGCUGCGGCGNNNNNNNNNNNNNNNNNNNNNNNNNNNNNNNNNNNNNNNNNNNNNNNNNNNNNNNNNNNNNNNNNNNNNNNNNNNNNNNNNNNNNNNNNNNNNNNNNNNNNNNNNNNNNNNNNNNNNNNNNNNNNNNNNNNNNNNNNNNNNNNNNNNNNNNNNNNNNNNNNNNNNNNNNNNNNNNNNNNNNNNNNNNNNNNNNNNNNNNNNNNNNNNNNNNNNNNNNNNNNNNNNNNNNNNNNNNNNNNNNNNNNNNNNNNNNNNNNNNNNNNNNNNNNNNNNNNNNNNNNNNNNNNNNNNNNNNNNNNNNNNNNNNNNNNNNNNNNNNNNNNNNNNNNNNNNNNNNNNNNNNNNNNNNNNNNNNNNNNNNNNNNNNNNNNNNNNNNNNNNNNNNNNNNNNNNNNNNNNNNNNNNNNNNNNNNNNNNNNNNNNNNNNNNNNNNNNNNNNNNNNNNNNNNNNNNNNNNNNNNNNNNNNNNNNNNNNNNNNNNNNNNNNNNNNNNNNNNNNNNNNNNNNNNNNNNNNNNNNNNNNNNNNNNNNNNNNNNNNNNNNNNNNNNNNNNGCGGCGAGGCGCGGAGGAGGCGGCGGCUGCGGCUCGGGGCGGCGGGGCUGGCGGUGGUGGCGGUUUGGGGCGGGGUGGCGGCGUAUAUAAAGGGGUGGGGUGCUGCUUGGAGGAGGGGCCAAGGCAGCGGCGGUGAUGGAGUCCGGCUCGGACUCCUCGUCCGAGCGGUGGCGCGGGCGAUUGGGCCGGCGGCCCGGCUGGGUUUCGGCCCAUUCGGCGGAACUCUUUUUUUAAAAAUAAUUUCGCUGGCAGAAAUAAAAUCCUAGAAAAUAGAAUAAAAACCUAAAAAUGCCAAAGCAAAUUUUCACCGUCUAAAUGAAAUAUUUAGAACGAGAUGAACAUUUUCUUGGCCCUAAAAUGCAAUUUUGAAAACGUGCAAUUUCUCUAUUGCAAAUAAAAUCCGAAUAAAAUCAACUAAAAUCAAAUAAAUGAUUUUAAUAUUUUUCCUCCAAUAUUUCAAUUAUUUUGGAGAAGUCAUAUUAUCUCCUCCCAUUUAUUUUUGGUACAAAAUAUUUUUUCGGAGAGAAAAAUAAUUAAAAUCGAAAAUCCUCGUUUCAUUAUUUGGUAGGAAAUCAAAUAUGAAACCGGAAAAAUCCCCAACUCUCUCCGAGGGUCCUUGAGUUGCUUAGGAUUUCGAGGAUUGCGGAGCGGAAAAGAAAUAAAAUAUGAUAUGCAUGAAUGACCUAUGUAUAACAUUCCAAAUUAAAAAUUUGAUAUGUUACAAACCUACCCCCCUUAAGAUGAAUGUUGCCCUCGAGAUUCGGGUUGGUUAGAAAAUAGGUGUGGGUGGUCCUUGCGAAGAUCAUCCUCUCAUUCCCAGGUGGCUUCAUCCUCGGUAUGGUGGCUCCACUGAACUUUACAAAACUUGAUAACCUUGCUGCGAGUUACUCGGCUGGCAAACUCAAGAAUCUUCACUGGCUUCUCCUCAUAAGUCAAAUCACUGUCUAGCUGAAUUGCCUCCAAGGGUACGAUAUCUCUUAACGGUAUAUCGGCCAUCUCAGCAUGACACUUCUUCAGUUGUGAGACGUGGAACACAUCAUGAACUCCUGAUAGUCCUCCAGGUAAUUCCAGCUUGUAGGCAACUUCUCCCAUCCGUUCCAAAACACGAUAUGGUCCCACAAAUCUUGGGGCUAAUUUUCCCUUAACUCCAAAACGUUUCACUCCUCGCAAGGGUGAUACUCGCAGAUAUGCUCUAUCUCCAAUUUCGUAAGUCACCUGCUUGCGUUUCGAGUCUGCAUAACUUUUCUGCCUGGACUAGCUACCUUCAGUCUAUCAUGAAUCAACUUAACCUUCUCCUCAGACUCUAUGAUCAAGUCUGGUCCGAACAACUAUCGAUCUCCUACCUCAUCCCACAUCAAUGGUGUUCUGCAUCUUCGUCCAUACAAAGCUUCGAACGGUGCCAUCUUCAAACUGGCUUGGUAGCUAUUGUUGUAUGAGAACUCUGCGUAAGGCAAAUUGUCAUCCCAACUAGAUCCAUAAUCUAGCGCACAGGCUCUCAACAUAUCUUCCAGUAUCUGGUUGACUCUCUCGAUCUGUCCAUCUGUCUACGGGUGAAAUGUUGUACUGAACUCUAAUCUCGUACCCAGGGUCUGAUGUAACUGAUUCCAAAACUUUGAAGUAAACUGAGUCCCUCUAUCCGAUACGAUGCUCCUCGGAACUCCAUGCAGACAUACGAUCCUGGAGAUAUAUAUCUUGGCCAACUUUGCACUUGUAUAGGUGGUUUUUACAGGGAUAAAGUGAGCCACUUUAUUCAAACGACCCACUACUACCCUUAUGGAGUCAUAUCCUGCCUUGGUCCUGGGUAGCCCGGUGAUAAAAUCCAUGCCAAGUUUAUCCCACUUCCAUUCGGGUAUCGGCAUAGGCUGUAACAGUCCUACUGGCUUCUGAUGUUCUGCCUUCACUCUCUGACAUACAUCACAUACGGCUACAUACUCAACAAUAUCCUUCUUCAUACCAGUCCACCAGAAACGUUCCUUCAAAUCUAAAUACAUCUUGGUGUUUCUGGGGCGUAUUGAGUAUGGUGAGUCAUGAGCCUCCUGAAGUAUUAACUUCCUGAUCUCUUGGUUAUUGGGUACAUAAACUCGGUCCUCAAACCAUAAGGUAUCGUGCUCAUCCUCGCGAAAACCUUUGGCCUUUCCUUGGCUCAUCUUCUCCUUUAUCUCGGCAAUCUCCCUGUCUUCCUUCUGAGCUCGUCGUAUUUUGUUCAACAAGGUCGACUGAACCUCCAUUGUUGCAACGAAACCUCUUGGAACAAUCUCCAAUCGAAGUUCCAUGAUAUCCUCAGCUAACUCCUUUGGCAAUCCCUUGCUCUCAAGCAUAUUGGCAUAACUCUUCCGGCUCAAAGCGUCUGCUACAACAUUGGCUUUUCCUGGAUGAUAGUGUAGCUUCAUAUCAUAAUCCUUUAUAAGUUCCAACCAUCUCCUCUGUCUAAGGUUCAGCUCCUUUUGCAUGAAAAUAUACUUCAAACUUUUAUGAUCCGUGUACACAUCACAACGGUUUCCAAUAAGGUAAUGUCUCCAAGUUUUUAAUGCAUGCAAUACGGCUGCUAAUUCCAAAUCAUGCGUGGCAUAGUUCAACUCAUGGGGCUUCAGUUGUCGUGAGGCAUACGAAACAACUUUUCCAUCCUGCAUAAGCACACAUCCCAGUCCCAAUCGUGAGGCGUCGCAAUACACUUGAAACUCCUUAUGUAUAACUGGCAAUGUUAGCACUGGGGCUGUAGUCAAACGUUUCUUCAACUCUUGAAAACUUGCCUCGCAAUCUUCUGUCCAUUUAAACUUAGUGUCAUUCUUCAGUAGUUCAGUCACUGACUUUGCCAGCUUGGAAAAAUUCUCAAUGAAUCUCCGAUAAUAUCCCGUGAGUCCAAGGAAACUGCGGAUCUCUCCAACUGAAGUGGGUGGCAACCAUUCAGUGACCGACUGAACUUUGUUGGAGUCUACUUCUAUACCCUCUCCUGAUAUAACAUGCCCAAGAAAUCCAACUUCCUUCAACCAAAAUUUGCACUUGCUGAACUUGGCGUAUAACUGGUGUUCUCUGAGUUUCUCGAGAACUAAUCGCAAAUGCUCCUUGUGCUCCUCUUCAUUCUUCGAGUAUACCAUAAUAUCAUCGAUAAACACCACAACAAAUUUGUCCAAAUACUCCAUGAACACUUUGUUCAUCAUACUCAUGAAAUAAGCAGGGGUGUUUGUCAGUCCAAACGACAUGACCGUAUACUCAUAUAAUCCAUACCGCAUAGUGAACGCUAUCUUUGGUAUAUCCUUCUCUCAGAUCUUCAACUGAUGGUAUCCUGAUCGUAGAUCAAUCUUUGAAAACACCUUAGCUCCUUGCAGCUGAUCAAACAGAUCAUUGAUCAUCGAUAGUGGAUACUUGUUCUUAAUCGUUACUUCAUUCAAGGCCCGAUAAUCAACAACCAUCCUCAGGGAUUUGUCCUUCUUCUCGACCAAAAGUACCGGGGCUCCCCAAGGCGAUGAACUCCUCCGAAUAUAACCUUUCUCCAACAACUCCUUGAUAUGUUUCUUAAUUUCCUCCAGAUCAUUUGCGGGAAUCCGAUAGGGUCUCUUGGAUAUUGGCCCUGUACCUGGCAAUAGCUCUAUCAAAAACUCAAUGUCUCGAUCCGGUGGCAUGCCUGGUAACUCUUCUGGAAAAACAUCCGGGUAAUCCUUUACUACAGGCACUUCCUCCUGCACAACUCCCAUGAGGGCAUUUACUUGGGUCCUCCUAGGCACAUGCAUCGAUACGUACUUAAUCCUUUUCCCCUCUGGGGUGGUGAGAUAAAUUGACUUACUAGCACAGUCAAUACUUCCUCCAUACUUUAAUAUCCAGUCCAUACCUAAUAUCACAUCCAAUCCUUGUGACUCCAAGAUAAUUAGGUCAGACGAAAAAAACAUGCGUCCCAAUGAUUAGGGGUAUCUGGUUGCACCAUCGGCUAGCCAUAUACUCUGCUCCAGGCGAGCUCACUAAAAGAGGGGUCCUCGGGGUUUGGGUUGGUAGGUUAUACUUAUCCACAAAUCCUCUUGAUAUGUAUGAAUGCGAUGCACCAGUAUCGAAAAGAAGAAGAGCGGUAAAUGACUUAACCAAAAACUUACCUAUUACCACAUCCGGCUGCUCUUCAACCUCCUCCACGUUAACGUGGUUCACUUGUCCUUUGUUGAAUGGAUUAGGCUUCUUCCCGGCGCUCUCGUUUCCGUUUCCAUUCCUUCCUUCAGGGCAAUCAUUUGCAUAGUGCCCAAUCUUCCCGCACUUAUAGCAAGUAACUUGACUCACGUCUCUCUUGGCGGGUGUGGCUAGAUUGGAGCGAUUCUAAUUGUUGUUAGCUCCGUUUCCAUUUCCAUUCUUACCACCAUUGUGGUUAUGCGAUCCUCCUCCAGUGUGGUUGUGGCCUCCUUGGUUAUGAACAAGUCCUCCCGAGUUUGGGGUUAAGCGAGGCUUCUGCGGAGCUCCUGAGUUAUACUUCCCUUGUCUGUACUUCCUCUUAUGGCUCUCAAUCUGCUGCUGCUUCCCUUCAAUCAUAAGAGCCUUAUCUACCAACUCCUAGUAGUUGUUGAAGGUUCCCACCAUCAACUGCAUACUCAUCUCAUCAUUCAACCCUUCCAUAAACUUCUCUUGCUUUGCGGCAUCUGUGGCCACAUCAUCAGGGGCAUAGCGUGAUAACUUGCUAAAAUCAUCCACGUACUGGCCUAUAGUACGGUUCCCCUAGCGUAAAUUGUGAAACUCCCGCUUCUUCAUCUGCAUAGCUCCAGUGGAGACAUGGGCAGUACGAAAGGCCUGUUGAAACUGAGCCCAUGUGACAGUGUCGAUAGGAUAGGUGGUUGUGAAAUUUUCCCACCAUGCUGCUGCAGGUCCAUCCAGUUGGUGUGCGGCAAAGUGCACCUUCUCUGCAUCCGUGUGCCCUGCGGUGGUCAACUCCCUUCUGAUACGGCAUAGCCAAUCAUCAGCAACUAUUGGCUCAGUGCUACUGGAAAACAUUGGCGGUUGUAACCUUAGAAAACGGGCUAGGUUGUCCACUGGUGGCGGGUUGUUGUUGUUGUUGUUGUUGUUGUUGUUGUUGUUGUUGUUGUUGUUGUUGUUGUUGUUGUUGUUGUUGUUGCCCUGGUUCUGAACUAACAACUGCAUCAAAGCAUUCUACUGCUUGAUCAACUGGGUGAGCUCCGGUGGGAAAGCAAAACCGGUGUCACGUCUCGGAGGCAUCUGAUGGGUUUAGAUGGAAGAGUUUAGAAUAGAAAAAAGGUCUAGCGAGAAAGCACUGCCCAUAUGCACAUGAGACAAACACAAUCAUAUCACUCAAUCAAGAAAGCAAGGGCAUACAACGGUCUAAUACUAUCGCAAAAGUGCUCAAGUACUACUAAUAAAUGGGGGGAAUACUACUAAUAAAUGGUGGUCAUCUAGAAAUUUUGACCGGUGGAAGAUUCCACGAUGCCUGCUCUAGCUUCAUCUUCAUAAUCAUCAUUACUGGGAUCAGAAUCGGUGUCGUCAAUGAUGAUGUAGUUGUCCGGGCAAGUGGGGUCGUCGUCUUCGUCUCCCGGUGCUGGUCCUCCCAUGAAUAUUCCGAUCUUCUUAACUAGGUCAUCGUUCUUCUCCAGUAGUGUCUUGAUUUCCUCCUCAUAUCCAUCGCGUGUGAACUUGAGUUCUUCCUCCAGCUCGAUGAUCCUAGUCUUUGCCUUCUUCAAUUCUAUCAUGUCUGCGCACAUCUGGUUCUCCUGACGUUGAAUGUGCUGGUUUAACUCCUGGAUAAAAGCUGCAAUGGAUCUAUCCUUCCUGGUGCUGAUCAUCUCCCAUUGCUCGUCUCGGCGCCCACAUAUUUGAUAGGUAGUGUCCUUGAGUUCCCUGUUGUAGACUUCUCCAAUGCGUCCUAUGGUAAUGUGGGCUGCCAUGCUCUUGCCUAGACUCCAGGUUGGUGCAUCGAAAGAAAAUUCUAUGGGUUUAGAAGUUGGCGAGAACGUCCUUCCUAGAACUUGUACUUGAAUCAUCCAGCACUCCUCUUCUGGUAAGGUGGCGUUGUACGUCCCGGUGAAACUUGGUAUUCCAAUGUUCAGGUACCUAGUGACUUCCUUCAAGUGGCGUCCAAAAGGUGUAUCCUCGUCCGGUUGCGCAAACUUGUUCUUCAUCAACGACAUCCUAAAGAGUGGAAAAGGAAGAGGAGUCAGAAAUGAGUAGAGAAGAGUGACCUAUGGUUCAUCUUAGUGGUCGUGUCCUACACUCAGCGUGUGCUCUGAUACCAUCUUGUAGCGACCCAACCUCAAACGGUCAAGUCUCUGUGCAUCAGUGUCAUCCCUGGAUCAGUAAUGCUGACAUGCAUAAUACUCGAAGGAUUUAUAACAGAGUAGCAAUCACACACUCAUUACGUCGAAUGUCUCAAAAGAGAACUUAUACAAUAAUAUGGCUUAAGGCCAUCUAAAUGCGAUAACAUCGGAAGGCUUGGAAGAUAAAGUGAGUCCAUCAACUCCAACGACAUAGCUGAGCUGCACGACAACGACCUAACGAACCUUACUCCUCGUCUGAAAAGUCUGCAACAUAAUACGUUGCAGCCCGAAAAUGGGUCAGCACAUGGAAUAUGCUGGCAAUAUAACACAGUAGAGCAAGAACAGAAUAAUGCUAUCACUACAUGCAUAUAUGGCUGGUGGAAAGCUCUAUGGUUAUAGUUUUGCAAAAAGAAAAUUUUUCCCUACAACAAAGGAAUAGAUUUUAAUUUAACUAUCAUGGUGGUUGAACAACAUUGAGAAGGUAACCCCAACUCAAUCCCAAUUAAAGUGAUUAACUACCCAACAAUAUUCAUUAAGAGUGAUGAGAUACUUAAGAUAACCCAAGUACUAGAUACUCAAGAAUUGUCCAUAACCGGGGACACGACUAACCAUUAUUAGAUUGUACACUCUGCAGAGGUUUGCGCACUUUUCCCCACAAGACUCGAUCGCCUCCAUUGAUUUCUCGCACUGCGUGGUGUUUGAGAAAUGGAUGACCAAGACAUAGUCUUUCAAAAACAUUAACUCCCUACUCCGGGUAGACCAUACCAAACCUAAAAAAACCACUACCUGCUGAUCUACCUCUUCAAGAGCUUCACGUAACUUACUCAGCUAUGCUAGAGCCCAUAAUAGCUUGUGGCUACACAGGGAAGUUUCUAGCAUGAAUAAUCUCAAUUCCCUUUGAGCCUGGGUGGCGGUCCAUAGGAAGAUCACACGGUUACCCCCCAAAAAAACUGACAACACUGGGUUCCCCAGGUGCCUCAAUCCACCCAGAUGUGUAUUAAAGUUGCCACCUUAAGUUGAACCAUUAAUUAAAAAUCUCUAAUCUGUCAUGGAUACACUCAAACCCAAACCACGUCUACGAGCAUAGCAUGGCAAUAUAUAAGCAACACCUAGAAGUAACUCCCAAGGGUUUGAUAUAACAGGGCGAUAGGUUCUACCUCAUCAACUACUUCCCAAUACCCUCAAGUUAAAGACAUCCUAAUCAUGCUAUGUUUGAGGAUGGAACUAAUGCAAUAAAACUGGGUAUGAAAAGAGUAUGAUCAAUGUGUUACUUGCCUUGCCGACGAUCCGUGAAUCCUAGAGACUCGUAGUAACACGCUUCGCACUCCGGGAAUUCUAUCGCAAACAAACAAUAACAUACAUAAGCAACUAGCAACAAUGCACAAACAAAACUUCAAACAAAAGCGAAUGACCAGAAAGUUCAACUUAAGAACUCCGGUUUGCAAAAAGAAUCAAAUCAAACGGAGCAACGAAACUCAAACGGCGAAAGAAACAAGAUCCGUUUACUAAUCUGAACUAAAGUCAAAUUUUACAGUAUCAAAAUCUUGUUUAAAUUGAUUAAACAAAAAGAGGGUCUCGAGACAAAACUCUAGGCGUUUGAAUCACCUGAUUCCGACUAACGAGCGCGAAGAAAAAUAGAAACUAAGAUCGGAUCAGAAAUCGCGACUGAAAAAUAAUCGCAGAUAAAUCCGAUAAAAGAAAACUGAUGAACAGGCUAACGAACGAGCAUUCGUUAUCUGUAACUAACGGAAGAAAACCGUUCAUUUGAACGAACAUACGGACGAACGUCCGCUAAAUAGAGGAACCGUGAAAAACUGGUGAACCGAUCUAAAAAAACGAACUAGGGUUUCUAAAAAAACCGAACGAUUUUUUAAAAAAAAGAACCGGCGGCUCGGAUCCGGCUCGGUACCUCCGGCGAGGGGCUCUGGUGAGGCGAGGUGGGGCGGCGGGGCGGCGGCUCGCGACGACGGGGAUCNNNNNNNNNNNNNNNNNNNNNNNNNNNNNNNNNNNNNNNNNNNNNNNNNNNNNNNNNNNNNNNNNNNNNNNNNNNNNNNNNNNNNNNNNNNNNNNNNNNNNNNNNNNNNNNNNNNNNNNNNNNNNNNNNNNNNNNNNNNNNNNNNNNNNNNNNNNNNNNNNNNNNNNNNNNNNNNNNNNNNNNNNNNNNNNNNNNNNNNNNNNNNNNNNNNNNNNNNNNNNNNNNNNNNNNNNNNNNNNNNNNNNNNNNNNNNNNNNNNNNNNNNNNNNNNNNNNNNNNNNNNNNNNNNNNNNNNNNNNNNNNNNNNNNNNNNNNNNNNNNNNNNNNNNNNNNNNNNNNNNNNNNNNNNNNNNNNNNNNNNNNNNNNNNNNNNNNNNCUGCGGCUCGGGGCGGUGGGGCUGGCAGUGGUGGCGGUUUGGGGCAGGGUGGCGGCGUAUAUAAAGGGGUGGGGGGGGCUGCUUGGAGGAGGGGCCAAGGCGGCGGCGACGAUGGAGUCCGGCUCGGACUCCUCGUCCGAGAGGCGCCGGGGCUGGUGCGCGCGCGGGGGCUGUGGCACUGGCGAUUGGGCCGGCGGCCCGGCUGGGUUUCGGCCCAGUCGGCAGAACUCUUUUUUUAAAAAGAAUAAUUUUGCCGGCAGAAAUAAAAUCCUAGAAAAUAGAAUAAAAACCUAAAAAUGCCAAAACAAAUUUUCACCGUCUAAAUGAAAUAUUUAGAACCAGAUGAACAUUUUCUUGGACCUAAAAAUAUAAUUUUGAAAACAUGCAAUUUUUCUAUUGCAAAUAAAAUCCGAAUAGAAUCAACUAAAAUCAAAUAAAUGAUUUUAAUAUUUUUUCCUCCAAUAUUUCAAUUAUUUUGGAGAAGUCAUAUUAUCUCCUCUCAUUUAUUUUUGGUAUGAAAUAUUUUUUCGGAGAGAAAAAUAAUUAAAAACGAAAAACCUCGUUUCAUUAUUUGGUAGGAAAUCAAAUAUGAAACCGGGAAAAAUCCCCAACUCUCUCCGAGGGUCCUUGAGUUGUUUAGGAUUUCGAGCAUUGCGGAGCGGAAAAGAAAUAAAAUAUGAUAUGCAUGAAUGACCUAUGUAUAACAUUCUAAAUUAAAAAUUUGGAAUGUUACACGAAGUAGGCGAUCUCCUUGCCCUCACAAACUCCUUGGUUCAACUCCACAAUCUUGUCAGAGGCUCCCAAGUGACACCUAGCCAAUCUAGGAGACACCACUCUCCAAGAAGUAACAAAUGGUGUGUUGAUGAUGAACUCCUUGCUCUUGUGCUUCAAAUGAUAGUCUCCCCAACACUCAACUCUCUCUCACAUGAUUUGGAUUUGGUGGAAAGAAGAUUUGAGUGGAAAGCAACUUGGGGAAGGCUAGAGAUCAAGAUUCAUAUGAUAGGAAUGGAAUAUCUUGGCCUCAAGACAUGAGUAGGUGGUUCUCUCUCAGAAACGGUAAGUUGGAAGUGUAGGUUCGUUCUGAUGGCUCUCUCCACGAAUGAAGAGGAGGUGGAGGGGUAUAUAUAGCCUCCACACAAAAUCUAACCAUUACACACAAUUUACUAAUCUCGGUGGGACGGAAUCAACAAACUCGGCCAGAUCGAUUUAGUAAACAUAGUGACCGUUAGGAUUUUCGGUGGGACCGACAUGCAACUCGGUAGGACCGAUAUGGUUAGGGUUAGGGCAUAACGUAAUCUCAGUGAGACCGAUUACACAAACUCGGUGAGACCAAUUUUGGUAAUAAGCUAACUAGAGAGUUGGUCAGGUAAACUCGGUGGGACCGGUUCGCUCAUUUCGGUGGGACCGAAAUGUUACGAAAAGGAAACAGAGAGUUUACAUUGCAAUCUUGGUGGGACCGAUUGCUCAUCUCGGUGGUACAAAAAUAUUAUGAAGGGAAACAGAGAGAUUACAAUCCCAUCUCGGCGAGACCGAGAUCCCUAUCGGUGAGACCGGUUUGCCUAGGGUUUGUGGCAGUGGCUAUGACAUCUGAACUCGGUGGCGCUGGAUAGAAAGAAUCAGUGGGGCCGAGUUUGACUUUUGGUUUGGGUCAUAUGUGGAUAUGAUAAAGUAGUUGAGGGUUUUUGGAGCAUAUCACUAAGCACUGUGGAGCAAGAAACUCAUUAAACAACACCUCAUCCCUCCUUGAUAGUAUUGGCUUUUCCUAUAGACUCAUGUGAUUUUGGAUCACUAAAAUAUAAAAUGUAGAGUCUUGAGCUUUUGAGCUUGAGCCAAUCCUUUUAUCCUUCGUAUUUUGAGGGAUCCACUUUCCUCAUCCAUGCCAUGCCAUUCAUUGAGCUUUUCUUGAAAUGUUCAUCUUGGAAUGAUGUUAGCUCAAUGAUCUAUAUGUUGUUAGGAAUUAUCAAAACCACCUAGGGAUAGUUGCACUUUCAACCUCCUACUGGAUUGAUACCUUGGUUCUCAAAACUGAGGGAAAUACUUAUGCUACUUUGCUGCAUCACCCUUUCCUCUUCAAGGGAAAAACCAACGCAUGCUCAAGAGGUAACAAGAAGGAUUUCUAGCGCCGUUGCUGGGGAGGUCUUUGCUCAAGUCAAUACAUACCAAGUAUCCAUCACAAACUCAUCUCCCUCGCAUUACAUUAUUUGCCAUUUGCCUCUCGUUUUCCUCUCCCCCACUUCACCCUUGCCGUUUUAUUCGCCCUCUCUUUCCCGUUCUCCUCUCUUUUUCGCUUGUCUCUUGUGUGCUUGUGUGUUGGAUUGCUUGUCACGAUGGCACAAGAUAAUACUAAAUUGUGUGACUUUUCCAAUACCAAUGAUCAUGAUUUCCUUAGCACUCCGGUUGCUCCUCUUAAUGAUGUUGAAACUUUUGAAAUCAAUGCUGCUUUGUUGAAUCUUGUUAUGAAAGAUCAAUUCUCCGGCCUUCCUAGUGAAGAUGUCGCUACUCAUCUAAACAAUUUUGUUGAUUUGUGUGAUAUGCAAAAGAAGAAAGAUCCCUGUUCAAGAAUUCAUCCGAUUAACCAGUUAACUUGCCGAUUAAUCCCUACUCAUAGGGUCACCGAGUAGCCUAUAAACUGAUAAAUCGUCCGAUUAGUUGGUUAAAUAGCCGAUUAACUUGCCGAUUAGCCGAUUAAUCCCCUACUCACCAGCCAACCGAGCAGCUACCAGUUAACGAUUUAUGAUACGGAUAAUGAUAUUAUUAAAUUGAAGUUAUUUCCAUUUUCACUUAGAGAUCAUGCUAAAACUUGGUUUUCGUCUUUGCCUAAAAAUAGUAUUAAUUCUUGGAAUAAGUGCAAAGAUGCUUUUAUCUCUAAAUAUUUUCCUCCCGCUAAGAUCAUCUCUCUUAGAAACGAUAUUAUGAAUUUUAAACAACUUGAUCAUGGGCAUGUUGCACAAUCUUGGGAGAGAAUGAAAUUAAUGAUUCGCAAUUGCCCUACUCAUGGUUUGAAUUUAUGGAUGAUCAUACAAAACUUUUAUGCCGGAUUGAAUUUUGCUUCUAGAAAUCUUUUAGAUUCGGCCGCGGGAGGCACCUUUAUGGAAAUCACUUUAGGAGAAGCUAAAAAACUUCUUGAUAAUAUUAUGGUUAAUUAUUCUCAAUGGCACACCAAAAGAUCUACUAGUAAAAAAGUUCAUGCUAUAGAAUAAAUUAAUGUUUUGAGUGGAAAGAUGGAUGAACUUGUGAGAUUGUUUGCUACUAAAAGUGCCACUAUUGAUCCCAAUGAUAUGCCUUUGUCUACUCUGAUUGAGAAUAAUAAUGAAUCUAUGGAUGUGAAUUUUGUUGGUAGGAAUAAUUUUGGUAACAACGCGUAUAGAGGAAACUUUAAUCCUGGGCCGUUCCCAAGUAAUUCCUCUAAUAAUUAUGGUAAUGCCUACAACAACUCCUGUGGAAAUUUUAAUAAGAUGCCCUUUGAUUUUGAGAAUAGUGUUAAAGAACUUAUGAAUUCUCAAAAGAAUUUCAAUGCUUUGCUUGAAGAAAAAUUGCUUAAAGUUGAUGAAUUGGCUAGGAACAUUGAUAGACUUUCUCUUGAUGUUGAUUCUUUGAAACUUAGAUCUAUUCCUCCUAAGCAUGAUAUCAAUGAGUCUCUCAAAGCUAUGAGAAUUUCCAUUGAUGAGUGCAAAGAAAGAACCGCUAGGUUGCAUGCUAAGAAAGAUUGCUUUCUUAGAGCGUGUUCUUCUAGUUUUCAUGAAAAUAAUGAUGAAGAUCUAAAAGUUAUUGAUGUGUCCCCUAUUAAAUCUUUGUUUUGCAAUAUGAAUCUUAAUAAUAAUUGGACUGGAGGUGAAUCAACUUUGGUUAAAAAGUGUUCUGAUGAUUUGGAGUAUUUUGAUCUUGAUGCUAAAAUUGGUAAAAGUGGGAUUGGAGAAAUUAAAACUUUACAUAGUAAUGAACCCAGCACUUUGGAUUUCAAGGAAUUUAAUUAUGAUAAUUUCUCUUUAAUAGAUUGCAUUUCCUUGUUGCAAUCCGUGUUGAAUUCUCCUCAUGCUUAUAGCCAAAAUAAAACUUUUACUAAACAUAUCGUUGAUGCCUUGAUGCAAUCUUAUGAGGAAAAACUUAAUUUGGAAGUUUCUAUACCUAGAAAACUUUAUGAUGAGCGGGAACCUACUAUGGAAAUUAAAAUAAAAUAUCAUGAAUGCUAUGCUUUGUGUGAUUUGGGUGCUAGUGUUUCCAUGAUUCCGAAAACUUUAUGUGACGUGCUAGGUUUCCAUGAAUUUGAUGAUUGUUCUUCAAACUUGCACCUUGCGGAUUCCACCAUUAAGAAACCUAUGGGAAGGAUUAAUGAUGUUCUUAUUGUUGCUAAUAGGAAUUAUGUGCCCGUAGAUUUUAUCGUUCUUGAUAUUGAUUGCAAUCUUUUGUGUCCUAUUAUUCUUGGUAGGCCUUUCCUUAGAACGAUUGGUGCAAUUAUUGAUAUGAAUGAGGGAAAUAUUAGAUUCCAAUUUUCGUUAAGGAAAGGAAUGGAACACUUCCCUAUAAAGAAAGUUAAAUUACCAUAUGAAUCUAUUAUGCGAUCCACUUAUGAAUUGAAUGCCAAAGAUGGCAAUACUUAGAUCCAUUCUCGCUUUUAUGCCUAGCUAGGGGCGUUAAACGAUAGCGCUUGUUGGGAGGCAACACAAUUUUAUUUUUGUUCCUUGAUUUUUGUUCCUGUUUAGUAAUAAAAAAUUUAUUUAGUCUCUGGUUAGAUGUGUUUUUAUGUUUUAAUUAGUGUUUUUGCCAAGUAGAACCUAUAGGAUAACCUUGGGUGAAAGUUAAUUUGAUUCUGCUGAAAAACAGAAACUUUGCAUGCACGCGAAAAAAUUUAAUAAAUCACAGAAACGUGAUUUUGCGUUUAUUCUUUUUUCUGUAGAUCAACAGACAAAUUGCCUAGGACGUCCUAUUUUUUUAGGUUUUUUAAGGUUCCAGAAGUAUUCGAAAGUUACAAAUUGCUACAAACUGUUCUGUUUUUGACAGAUUCUGUUUUCCGUGUGUUGUUUGCUUAUUUUGAUGCAUCUAUGGCCAGUAUCGGGGGGUAUGAACCAUAGAGAAGUUGGAAUACAGUAGGUUUAACACCAAUAUAAAUAAAGAAUAAGUUCGUUACAGUACCUUAUGUGGUGGUUUUUCUUUCUUGCACUAACGGAGCUCAUGAGAUUUCCUGUUGAGUUUUGUGUUGUGAAGUUUUCAAGUUUUGGGUAAAGAUUUGAUGGACUAUGGAAUAAGGACUGGCAAAGUACUAAGAUUGGGGAUGCCCAUGGCACCCCAAGAUAUUCAAGGAUGACCAAGAGCCUAAGCUUGGGGAUGCCCCGAAAGGCAUCCCCUCUUUCGUCUUCGUCUAUCGGUAACUUUACUUUGAGCUAUAUUUUUAUUUACCGCAUGAUAUGUGUUUUGCUUGGAGCAUCUUGUAUGAUAUGAGUUUUUGCUUUUUAGUUUACCACAAUCAUCCUUGCUGUAUACACCUUUUGGGAGAGACCCACAUGUUUUAGAAUUUAUUAGAAUACUCUAUGUGCUUCACUUAUAUCUUUUGAGCUAUGCAGUUUUGCUCUAGUGCUUCACUUAUAUCUUUUUAGAGCAUGGGGGUGGUUUUAUUUUGUAGAAAUUAUUUAUAUAUCAUGAUUCACUUAUAUUAUUUUUAGAGUCUUUUAGAACAGCAUGGUAUUUGUUGGGUAACGUAGUAAUUUCAAAAAAAUUCCUACGCACAUGCAAGAUCAUAGUGAUGGCAUAGCAACGAGAGAGGAGAGUAUUGCCCACGUACCCUCGUAGACCGUAAGCGGAAGCAUUAUCACAACGCGGUUGAUGUAGUCGUACGUCUUCACGACUCUACCGAUCCAAGCACCGAAUGUAUGGCACCUCCGUGUUCAGCACACGUUCAGCUCAAUGACGUUCCCCGGGCUCCAAUCCAGCAAAGCGUCGGGGAUGAGUUCCGUCAGCACGACGGCGUGGUGACGAUGAUGAUGUUCUACCGGCGCAGGGCUUCGCCUAAACUCCACGACGAUAUGACCGAGGUGGAAUAUGGUGGAGGGGGGCACCGCACACGGCUAAGGAACGAUCCGUAGAUCAACUUGUGUGUCCUAGGGUGCCCCCCUGCCCCCGUAUAUAAAGGAGCAAGGGGGAGGCCGGCCGGCCCCUUGGGGCGCGCCAAGGAGGAGGAAUCCUCCUCCUAGUAGGAGUAGGAUUCCUCCUUUCCUACUCCUACUAGGAGGGGGAAGGAAGGGGGAGAGGGGGAAAGGAAAGAGGGGGGCGCCCCCCCCCCUCCUAGUCCAAUUCGGACCAGAGGGAGAGGGGGCGCGCGUCCCACCCUGGCCGCCCCUCUCUCUUCCCACCAAGGCCCAUGUGGCCCAUUAACUCUCCCGGGGGUUCCGGUAACCCUCUGACACUCCGGUUUUCUCCGAAAUCACCCGGAACACUUCCGGUGUCCGAAUAUAGUCGUCCAAUAUAUCAAUCUUUAUGUCUCGACCAUUUCGAGACUCCUCAUCAUGUCCGUGAUCACAUCCGGGACUCCGAACAAACUUUGGUACAUCAAAACUUAUAAACUCAUAAUAAAACUGUCAUCGUAACAUUAAGCGUGCGGACCCUAUGGGUUCAAGAACUAUGUAGACAUGACCUAGAACUAUUCUCGGUCAAUAACCAAUAGUGGAACCUGGAUGUUCAUAUUGGUUCCUACAUAUUCUAUGAAGAUCUGUAUCGGUCAAACCGCAUAACAACAUACGUUGUUCCCUUUGUCAUCGGUAUGUUACUUGCCCGAGAUUCGAUCGUCGGUAUCCAAUACCUAGUUCAAUCUCGUUACCGGCAAGUCUCUUUACUCGUUCCGUAAUACAUCAUUUCAUAACUAACUCAUUAGUUACAAUGCUUGCAAGGCUUAAGUGAUGAGUAUUACCGAGAUGGCCCAGAGAUACCUCUCCGACAAUCGGAGUGACAAAACCUAAUCUCGAAUUAUGCCAACUCAACAUGUACCUUUGGAGACACCUAUAGAGCACCUUUAUAAUCACCCAGUUACGUUGUGACGUUUGGUAGCACACAAAGUGUCCUCCCGGUAAACGGGAGUUGCACAAUCUCAUAGUUGUAGGAACUUUGUAUAAGUCAUGAAGAAAGCAAUAGCAACAUACUAAACGAUCAAGUGCUAAGCUAACAGAAUGGGUCAAGUCAAUCACAACAUUCUCCUAAUGAUGUGAUCCCAUUAAUCAAAUGACAACACAUGUCUAUGAUUAGGAAACAUAACCAUCUUUGAUUAAUGAGCUAGUCAAGUAGAGGCAUACUAGUGACACUAUGUUUGUCUAUGUAUUCACACAUGUAUCAUGUUUCCGGUUAAUACAAUUCUAGCAUGAAUAAUAAACAUUUAUCAUGAGAUGAGGAAAUAAAUAAUAACUUUAUUAUUGCCUCUAGGGCAUAUUUCCUUCAGUCUCCCACUUGCACUAGAGUCAAUAAUCUAGAUUACAUAGUAAUGAUUCUAACACCCAUGGAGUCUUGGUGCUGAUCAUGUUUUGCUCGUGAGAGAGGCUUAGUCAACGGGUCUGCAAUAUUCAGAUCCGUAUGUAUUUUGCAAAUCUCUAUGUCUCCCACUUGGACUUGGUCCCGAAUGGAAUUGAAGCGUCUCUUGAUGUGCUUGGUCCUCUUGUGAAAUCUGGAUUCCUUUGCCAAGGCAAUUGCACCAGUAUUGUCACAAAAGAUCUUCAUUGGUCCCGAUGCACUAGGUAUAACACCUAGAUUGGAAAUGAACUCCUUCAUCCAGACUCCUUCAUUUGCUGCUUCCGAAGCAGCUAUGUACUCCGCUUCACAUGUAGAUCCCGCCAUGAUGCUUUGUUUAGAACUGCACCAACUUACAGCUCCACCAUUUAACAAAAAUACGUAUCCGGUUUGCGAUUUAGAAUCGUCCAGAUCAGUGUCAAAGCUUGCAUCUACGUAACCAUUUACGACUAGCUCUUUGUCACCUCCAUAUAUGAGAAACAUAUCCUUAGUCCUUUUCAGGUAUUUCAGGAUGUUCUUGACCGUCGUCCAGUGACCCACUCCUGGAUUACUUUGGUACCUCCCUGCCAAACUAAUAGCAAGGCACACAUCAGGUCUGGUACACAGCAUUGCAUACAUGAUAGAGCCUAUGGCUGAAGCAUAGGGAAUUCCUUUCAUUUUCUCUCUAUCUUCUGCAGUGGUCGGGCAUUGAGUCUGACUCAACUUUAUACCUUGUAAUACAGGCAAGAACCCUUUCUUCGCCUGAUCCAUAUUGAACUUUUUCAACACUUUAUCAAGGUACGUGCAUUGUGAAAGUCCAAUCAAGCGUCUUGAUCUAUCUCUAUAGAUCUGAAUGCCCAAUAUGUAAGCAGCUUCACCGAGGUCUUUCAUUGAAAAACUUUUAUUCAAGUAUCCUUUUAUGCCAUUCAGAAAUUAUAUAUCAUUCCCAAUCAACAAUAUGUCAUCCACAUAUAAUAUUAGAAAUGCUACAGAGCUCCCACUCACUUUCUUGUAAAUACAGGCUUCUCCAAAAGUCUGUAUAAAACCAUAUGCCUUGAUCACACUAUCAAAGCGUUUAUUCCAACUCCGAGAGACUUGCACCAGACCAUAGAUUGAUCGCUGGAGCUUGCACACUUUGUUAGCUCCCUUAGGAUCGACAAAACCUUCUGGUUGCAUCAUAUACAACUCUUCUUCCAUAAAUCCAUUCAGAAAUGCAGUUUUGACAUCCAUCUGCCAAAUUUCAUAAUCAUAAAAUGUGGCAAUCGCUAACAUGAUUCGGACAGACUUAAGCAUCGCUACGGGUGAGAAAGUCUCAUCGUAGUCAACCCCUUGAACUUGUCGAAAACCUUUCGCAACAAGUCGAGCUUUAUAGACAGUUACAUUACCGUCAGCGUCAGUCUUCUUCUUAAAGAUCCAUUUAUUCUCAAUGGCUUGCCGAUCAUCGGGCAAGUCAACCAAAGUCCAUACUUUGUUUUCAUACAUGGAUCCCAUCUCAGAUUUCAUGGCUUCUAGCCAUUUUGCGGAAUCUGGGCUCAUCAUUGCUUCCUCAUAGUUCGUAGGUUCAUCAUGGUCAAGUAACAUGACUUCCAGAAUAGGAUUACCGUACCACUCUGGUGCAAAUUUUAUUCUGGUAGACCUACGAGGUUCAGUAGAAACUUGAUCUGAAGUUUCAUGAUCAAUAUCAUUAUCUUCCUCACUAAUUGGUGUAGAUGUCACAGGAACUGAUUUCUGUGAUGAACUACUUUCCAAUGAGGGAGCAGACAUAGUUAUCACAUCAAGUUCUACUUUCCUCCCACUCACUUCUUUCGAGAGAAACUCUUUUUCUAGAAAGGAUCCAUUCUUAGCAACGAAUGUCUUGCCUUCGGAUCUGUGAUAGAAGGUGUACCCAACAGUCUCUUUUGGGUAUCCUAUGAAGACACAUUUCUCCGAUUUGGGUUCGAGCUUAUCUGGUUGAAGUUUCUUCACAUAAGCAUCGCAGCCCCAAACUUUAAGAAACGACAACUUUGGUUUCUUGCCAAACCAUAGUUCAUAAGGCGUCGUCUCAACGGAUUUCGAUGGUGCCCUAUUCAAUGUGAAUGCAGCCGUCUCUAAAGCAUAACCCCAAAACGAUAGCGGUAAAUCAGUAAGAGACAUCAUAGAUCGCACCAUAUCUAGUAAAGUACGUUACGACGUUCGGACACACCAUUACGUUGUGGUGUUCCGGGUGGCGUGAGUUGCGAAACUAUUCCGCAUUGUUUCAAAUGUAAACCAAACUCGUAACUCAAAUAUUCUCCUCCACGAUCAGAUCGUAGAAACUUAAUUUUCUUGUUACGAUGAUUUUCCACUUCACUCUGAAAUUCUUUGAACUUUUCAAAUGUUUCAGACUUGUGUUUCAUUAAGUAGAUAUACCCAUAUCUGCUCAAAUCAUCUGUGAAGGUGAGAAAAUAACGAUAUCCACCACGAGCUUCAAUAUUCAUCGGUCCACAUACAUCUGUAUGUAUGAUUUCCAACAAAUUUGUUGCUCUCUCCAUAGUAUCGGAGAACGGUGUUUUAGUCAUCUUGCCUAUGAGGCACGGUUCGCAAGUACCAAGUGAUUCAUAAUCAAGUGAUUCCGAAAGUCCAUCAGUAUGGAGUUUCUUCAUGCGCUUUACACCGAUAUGACCUAAAUGGCAGUGCCACAAAUAAGUUGCACUAUCAUUAUCAACUCUGCAUCUUUUGGUUUGGACAUUAUGAAUAGGUGUAUCACUACUAUUGAGAUUUAAUAAAAAUAGACCACUCUUCAAGGGUGCAUGACCAUAAAAGAUAUUACUCAUAUAAAUAGAACAACCAUUAUUCUCUUAUUUAAAUGAAUAACCGUCUCGCAUCAAACAAGAUCUAGAUAUACUGUUCAUGCUCAACGCUGGCACCAAAUAACAAUUAUUUAGGUCUAAGACUAAUCCCGAAGGUAGAUGUAGAGGUAGCGUGCAAACCGCGAUCACAUCGACUUUGGAACCGUUUCCCACGCGCAUCGUCACCUCGUCCUUGGCCAGUGCUCGCUUAUUCCGUAGUCCCUGUUUCGAGUUGCAAAUAUUAGCAACAGAACCAGUAUCAAAUACCCAGGUGCUACUACGAGCUCUAGUUAGGUACACAUCAAUAACAUGUAUAUCACAUAUACCUUUGUUCACUUUGCCAUCCUUCUUAUCCGCCAAAUACUUGGGGCAGUUCUGUUGGGGAACGUAGCAAAAAUUCAAAAUUUUCCUACGUGUCACCAAGAUCUAUCUAUGGAGAAACUAGCAACGAGGGGAAGGAGAGUGCAUCUACAUACCCUUGUAGAUCGCUAAGCGGAAGCGAUCAAGAGAACGGGGUUGAAGGAGUCGUACUCGUCGUGAUCCAAAUCACCGGAGAUCCUAGUGCCGAACGGACGGCACCUCCGCGUUCAACACACGUACAGCCCGGUGACGUCUCCCAUGCCUUGAUCCAGCAAGGAGAGAGGGAGAGGUUGAGGAAGACUCCGUCCAGCAGCAGCACAACGGCGUGGUGGUGAUGGAGGAGCGUGGCAAUCCAGCAGGGCUUCACCAAGCACCGCGGGAGAGGAGAAGGGAGAGAGGUAGGGCUGCGCCAGGGAGAGGUCAAAACUCAUGUGUUGGCAGCCCCAAAACCCUCAAGUAUAUAUAGGGGAGAGGGAGGGGGGUGCGCCCCCUCUAGGGUUUCCACCCCAAGGGGUGCGGCAGCCCCAAUCCCAUCUAAGGGUGGCGGCCAAGGGGGGAGAGGGGGAAACUUGCCUCCCAAGUUAGGUGGAAGCACCCCCUCCCCCAACCCUAGGCGCCUUGGGCCCUUGUGGGGGGCGCACCAGCCCACCUAGGGCUGGUCCCCUCCCACACUUGGCCCAUGCAGCCCUCCGGGGCCAGUGGCCCCACUUGGUGGACCCCCGGGACCCUCCCGGUGGUCCCGGUACGUUACCGAUAAAACCCGAAACUUUUCUGGUGACCAAAACAGGACUUCCCAUAUAUAAAUCUUUACCUCCGGACCAUUCCGGAACUCCUCGUGACGUCCGGGAUCUUAUCCGGGACUCCGAACAACAUUCGGUAACCACAUACAAACUUCCUUUAUAACCCUAGCGUCAUCGAACCUUAAGUGUGUAGACCCUACGGGUUCGGGAGACAUGUAGACAUGACCGAGACGUUCUCCAGUCAACAACCAACAGCGGGAUCUGGAUACCCAUGUUGGCUCCCACAUGUUCCACGAUGAUCUCAUCGGAUGAACCACGAUGUCAAGGACUCAUUCAAUCCCGUAUACAAUUCCCUUUGUCUAGCGGUAUUGUACUUGCCCGAGAUUCGAUCGUCGGUAUCCCGAUACCUUGUUCAAUCUCUUUACCAGCAAGUCUCUUUACUCGUUCCGUAACACAUCAUCCCAUGAUCAACCCCUUGGUCACAUUGUGCACAUUAUGAUGAUGUCCUACCGAGUGGGCCCAUAGAUACCUCUCUGUUUACACGGAGUGACAAAUCCCAGUCUCGAUUCGUGCCAACCCAACAGACACUUUCGGAGAUACCUGUAGUGCACCUUUAUAGCCACCCAGUUAGGUUGUGACAUUUGGUACACCCAAAGCAUUCCUACGGUAUCCGGGAGUUGCACAAUAUCAUGCUCUAAGGAAAUGAUACUUGACAUUAGAAAAGCUUUAGCAUACGAACUAUGAUCUUUUGUGCUAGGCUUAGGAUUGGGUCUUGUCCAUCACAUCAUUCUCCUAAUGAUGUGAUCCCGUUAUCAAUGACAUCCAAUGUCCAUGGUCAGGAAACCGUAACCAUCUAUUGAUCAACGAGCUAGUCAACUAGAGGCUUACUAGGGACAUAGUGUUGUCUAUGUAUCCACACAUGCAUCUGAGUUUCCUAUCAAUACAAUUAUAGCAUGGAUAAUAAACGAUUAUCAUGAACAAGGAAAUAUAAUAAUAACUAAUUUAUUAUUGCCUCUAGGGCAUAUUUCCAACAAGUUCCGCUUCCAGUGACCAGUUUGCUUGCAGUAGAAGCACUCAGUUUCAGGCUUAGGUCCAGACUUGGGUUUCUUCUCUUGAGCAGCAACUUGCUUGUUGUUCUUCUUGAAGUUCCCCUUCUUCUUCCCUUUGCCCUUUUUCUUGAAACUAGUGGUCUUGUUGACCAUCAACACUUGAUGCUCCUUCUUGAUUUCUACCUCCGCAGCCUUUAGCAUUGCGAAGAGCUUGGGAAUUGUCUUGUUCAUCCCUUGCAUAUUAUAGUUCAUCACGAAGCUCUUGUAGCUUGGUGACAGUGAUUGGAGAAUUCUGUCAAUGACGCUAUCAUCCGGAAGAUUAACUCCCAGUUGAAUCAAGUGAUUAUUAUACCCAGACAUUUUGAGUAUAUGCUCACUAACAGAACUAUUCUCCUCCAUCUUGCAGCUGUAGAACUUAUUGGAGACUUCAUAUCUCUCAAUCCGGGCUUGCUUGAAAUAUUAACUUCAACUCCUGGAACAUCUCAUAUGCUCCAUGACGUUCAAAACGUCGUUGAAGACCCGGUUCUAAGCCGUAAAGCAUGGCACACUGAACUAUAGAGUAGUCAUCAGCUUUGCUCUGCCAGACGUUCACAACAUCUGGUGUUGCUCCUGCAGCAGGCCUGGCACCCAGCGGUGCUUCCAGGACGUAAUUCUUCUGUGCAGCAAUGAGGAUAAUCCUCAAGUUACGGACCUAGUCCGUGUAAUUGCUACCAUCAUCUUUCAACUUUUCUUUCUCAAGGAACGCAUUAAAAUUCAACGGAACAACAGCACGAGCCAUCUAUCUACAACAAACAUAGAAAAGCAAACUACUAUUAGGUACUAAGUUCAUGAUAAUUUUAAGUUCAAUUAAUCAUAUUACUUAAGAACUCCCACUUAGAUAGAUAUCUCUCUAGUCAUCUAAGUGAUUACGUGAUCCAAAUCAACUAAACCAUAACCGAUCAUCACGUGAGAUGGAGUAGUUUUCAAUGGUGAACAUCACUAUGUUGAUCAUAUCUACUAUAUGAUUCAUGCUCGACCUUUCAAUCUCUGUGUUCCGAGGCCAUAUCUGCAUAUGCUAGGCUCGUCAAGUAUAACCUGAAUAUUCUGCGUGUGCAAAACUGGCUUGCACCCGUUGUAGAUGGACGUAGAGCUUAUCACACCCGAUCAUCACGUGGUGUCUGGGCACGACGAACUUUGGCAACGGUGCAUAUUCAGGGAGAACACUUCUUGAUAAUUUUAAUGAGAGAUCAUCUUAAAAUGCUACCGUCAAUCAAAGCAAGAUAAGAUGCAUAAAGGAUAAACAUCACAUGCAAUCAAUAUAAGUGAUAUGAUAUGGCCAUCAUCAUCUUGUGCUUGUGAUCUCCAUCUCCGAAGCACCGUCGUGAUCACCAUCGUCACUGGUGCGACACCUUGAUCUCCAUCGUAGCAUUGUUGUCGUUUACGCCAUCUAUUGCUUCUACGACUAUCGCUACCACUUAGUGAUAAAGUAAAGCAAUUACAGGGCGUUUGCAUUUCAUACAAUAAAGCGACAACCAUAUGGCUCCUGCCAGUUGCCGAUAACUUCGGUUACAAAACAUGAUCAUCUCAUACAAUAAAUAUAGCAUCACGUCUUGACCAUAUCACAUCACAACAUGCCCUGCAAAAACAAGUUAGACGUCCUCUACAUUGUUGUUGCAAGUUUUACGUGGCUGCUACGGGCUUAGCAAGAACCGUUCUUACCUACGCAUCAAAACCACAACGAUAGUUCGUCAAGUUAGUGCUGUUUUAACCUUCGCAAGGACCGGGCGUAGCCACACUCGGUUAAACUAAAGUUGGAGAAACUGACACCCGCCAGCCACAUGUGUGCAAAGCACGUCGGUAGAACCAGUCUCGCAUAAGCGUACGCGUAAUGUCGGUCCGUGCCGCUUCAUCCAACAAUACCGCCGAACCAAAGUAUGACAUGCUGGUAAGCAGUAUGACUUGUAUUGCCCGCAACUCAUUUGUGUUCUACUCAUGCAUAUAACAUCAACGCAUAAAACCUAGCCUCUGAUGCCACUGUUGGGUAACGUAGUAAUUUCAAAAAAAUUCCUACGCACAUGCAAGAUCAUGGUGAUGGCAUAGCAACGAGAGAGGAGAGUAUUGUCCACGUGCCCUCGUAGACCGUAAGCGGAAGCGUUAUCACAACGCGGUUGAUGUAGUCGUACGUCUUCACGACUCGACCGAUCCAAGCACCGAAUGUACGGCACCUCCGUGUUCAGCACACGUUCAGCUUGAUGACGUUCCCCGGGCUCCAAUCCAGCAAAGCGUCGGGGAUGAGUUCCGUCAGCACGACGGUGUGGUGACGAUGAUGAUGUUCUACCGGCGCAGGGCUUCGCCUAAACUCCGCGACGAUAUGACCGAGGUGGAAUAUGGUGGAGGGGUGCACCGCACACGGCUAAGGAACGAUCCAUAGAUCAACUUGUGUGUCCUAGGGUGCCCCCUGCCCUCGUAUAUAAAGGAGCAAGGGGGGAGGCCGGCCGGCCCCUUGGGGCGCGCCAAGGAGGAGGAAUCCUCCUCCUAGUAGGAGUAGGAUUCCUCCUUUCCUACUCCUACUAGGAGGGGGACGGAAGGGGGAGAGGGGGAAAGGAAAGAGGCCCCCCCCCUCCUAGUCCAAUUAGGACUAGAGGGAGAGGGGGCGCACGGCCCACCCUGGCCGCCCCUCUCUCUUCCCACCAAGGCCCAUGUGGCCCAUUAACUCUCUCGGGGGGGGGGGUCCGGUAACCCUCCGGCACUCCGGUUUUCUCCGAAAUCACCCGAAACACUUCCGGUGUCCGAAUAUAGUCGUCCAAUAUAUCAAUCUUUAUGUCUCGACCAUUUCGAGACUCCUCGUCAUGUCCUUGAUCACAUCCGGGACUCCGAACAAACUUCGGUACAUCAAAACUUAUAAACUCAUAAUAAAACUGUCAUCGUAACGUUAAGCGUGCGGACCCUACGGGUUCGAGAACUAUGUAGACAUGACCUAGAACUAUUCUCGGUCAAUAACCAAUAGUUGAACCUGGAUGUUCAUAUUGGUUCCUACAUAUUCUAUGAAGAUCUUUAUCGGUCAAACCGCAUAACAACAUUGUUGUUCCCUUUGUCAUCGGUAUGUUACUCGCCCGAGAUUCGAUCGUCGGUAUCCAAUACCUAGUUCAAUCUCGUUACCGGCAAGUCUCUUUACUCGUUCCGUAAUACAUCAUUUCAUAACUAACUCAUUAGUUACAAUGCUUGCAAGGCUUAAGUGAUGAGUAUUACCGAGAUGGCCCAGAGAUACCUCUCUGACAAUCGGAGUGACAAAACCUAAUCUCGAAUUAUGCCAACUCAACAUGUACCUUUGAGACAUCUGUAGAGCACCUUUAUAAUCACCCAGUUACGUUGUGACGUUUGGUAGCACACAAAGUGUCCUUCCGGUAAACGGGAGUUGCACAAUCUCAUAGUUGUAGGAACUUUGUAUAAGUCAUGAAGAAAGCAAUAGCAACAUACUAAACGAUCAAGUUCUAAGGUAACGGAAUGGGUCAAGUCAAUCACAACAUUCUCCUAAUGAUGUGAUCCCAUUAAUCAAAUGACAACACAUGUCUAUGAUUAGGAAACAUAACCAUCUUUGAUUAAUGAGCUAGUCAAGUAGAGGCAUACUAGUGACACUAUGUUUGUCUAUGUAUUCACACAUGUAUCAUGUUUCCGGUUAAUACAAUUCUAGCAUGAAUAAUAAACAUUUAUCAUGAUAUGAGGAAAUAAAUAAUAACUUUAUUAUUGCCUCUAGGGCAUAUUUCCUUUAGUAUUUGCUAUGGUUAUAAAAUUGGUCCUAGAACGGUGGGCAUCCAAGUUGGGUAUAAUAAAAACUAUCAUAGGAAGUGAAUUGAAUACUAUGAUCAACUUGAUGCUUAAUAAUUGUUUUGAUAUAUGAAGGUGGUAAUAUUAGAGUCAUGCUAGUUGAUGUAAUUGUGAAUUUAAGAAAUACUUGUGUUGAGGUUUGCAAGUCCCGUAGCAUGCACGUAUGGUAACCGUUGUGUGAAAAAUUUGAAGCAUGAGGUGUUCUUUGAUUGUCAACCUUAUGAGUGGCAGUCGGGGAUGAGCGAUGGUCUUUUCCUACCAAUCUAUCCCCCUAGGAGCAUGUGCGUAGUGCUUGGUUUUUGAUGACUUCUAGAUUUUUGCAAUAAGUAUGUCAGUUCUUUAUGACUAAUGUUGAGUCCAUGAAUUAUACACACUCUUACCUUACCAUCAUUGCUAGCCUCUACGGUACCGUGCAUUGCCCUUUCUCACCUUGAGAGUUGGUGCAAAAUUCGCCGGUGCAUCCAAACCCCGUGAUACGAUACGCUCUAUCACACAUAAACCUCCUUAUAUCUUCCUCAAAACAGCCACCAUACCUACCUAUUAUGGCAUUUCCAUAGCCAUUCCGAGAUAUAUUGCCAUGCAACUUUCCACCGUUCCGUUUAUUAUGACACGCUUCAUCAUUGUCAUAUUGCCUUUUGCAUGAUCAUGUAGUUGACAUCGUAUUUUUGGCAAAGCCACCAUGCAUAAUUUUUAUGCAUGUCGCCCUUGAGUCAUCGCAUAUCCCGGUACACCACCGGAGGCAUUCAUAUAGAGUCAUACUAUGUUCUAAUAUCGAGUUAUAAUUCAUGAGUUGUAAUUAAACAGAAGUGUGAUGAUCAUCAUUUUUAGAGCAUUGUCCCUAACAAAAAAAAGAGAAAGGACAAAAAAGGCCAAAAAAAGUCCAAAUAAAAAAAGGCCAAAGGGGGGGGCAAUGCUACUAUCUUUUUCCACACUUGUGCUCAAAAUUGCACCAUGAUCUUUAUGAUAGAAAGUCUUCUAUGUUGUCAUUUUCAUUUACUAAGUGGGAAUUUUUCAUUAUAGAACUUGGCUUGUAUAUUCCGGUGAUGGGCUUCCUCAAAAUGCCCUAGGUCUUCAUGAGCAAGCAAGUUGGAUGCACACCCACUUAGUUUCUUUUGUUGAGCUUUCAUACAUUUAUAGAUCUAGUGCAUCCGUUGCAUGGCAAUCCCUACUCCUCGCAUUGACAUCAAUUGAUGGGCAUCUCCCUAGCCCGUUGAUUAGCCGCGUUGAUGUGAGACUUUCUCCUUUUUUGUCUUCUCCACCUAACGCCUAUCAUUAUAUUCUAUUCCACCCAUAGUGCUAUAUCCAUGGCUCAUGCUCAUGUAUUGCGUGAAGGUUGAAAAAAGUUUGAGAUUACUAAAGUAUGAAACAAUUGCUUGGCUCGUCAUCGGGGUUGUGCAUGAUGAGAGCAUUCUUGUGUAACAAAAAUGAAGCAUGACCAAACUAUAUGAUUUUGUAGGGAUGAACUUUCCUUUGCCAUGUUAUUUUGAGAAGACAUGAUUGCUUAGUUAGUAUGCUUGAAGUAUUAUUAUCCUUUUGUCAAUAUGAACUUUUAUUUUGAAUCAUUUGAUCUGAACAUUCAUGCCACAAUAAAGAGAAAUACAUUGAGAAAUAUGCUAGGUAGCAUUCCACAUCAAAAAUUCUGUUUUUAUCAUUUACCUACUCGAGGACGAGCAGGAAUUAGGCUUGGGGAUGCUUGAUACGUCUCCAACGUAUCUAUAAUAUUUGAUUGUUCCAUGCUAUUAUAUUACCUGUUUUGGAUGUUUAUGGGCUUUACUUUACAGUUUUAUAUCAUUUUUGGGACUAACCUACUAACCAAAGGCCCAGCCCGAAUUGCUGUUUUUUUGCCUAUUUCAGUAUAUCGAAGGAAAGGAAUAUCAAAUGGAGUCCAAACGGAAUGAAACCUUCGGGAGCGAUCUUUUUGCAACAAACAAAAUCCAGGAGACUUGAAGUGGACGUCAAGAAGCAGCCGAGGAGGCCACGAGGGUGGUCGGCACGCCCAGUAAGGGUGGGCGCGCCCCCUGCCUCGUGGGCCCCUCGUGGCUCCCCUGACCGAAUUCCUUUGCCUAUAUAUAUCUACGUACCCCGAAAACAUCCAGGAGCACCACGAAAACCUAAUUCCACCGCCGCAACCUUCUGUAUCCGCAAGAUCCCAUCUUGGAGCCUUCGCCGGUGCUUCGCUGGAGGGGGAAUCGACCAUGGAGGGCCUCUCCAUCACCACCAAGGCCUCUCUGAUGAGUAGUGAGUAGUUUACCACAGACCUUCGAGUCCAUAGUUAUUAGCUAGAUGGCUUCUUCUCUCUCUUUGAUUCUCAAUAAAAGUUCACCUUCCUCUUCUUGGAGAUCUAUUCGAUGUAACUCUUUUUGCGGUGUGUUUGUCGAGAUCCGAUGAAUUGUGGGUUUAUGAUCAAGUUUAUCUAUGAGAAAUAUUUGAAUCUCCUCUGAAUUCUUUUAUGUAUGAUUGGUUAUCUUUGCAAGUCUCUUUGAAUUAUCAGUUUGGUUUGGCCUACUAGAUUGAUCUUUCUUGCCAUGGGAGAAGUGCUUAGCUUUGGGUUCAAUCUUGUGGUGUCCUUUCCCAGUGACAGUAGGGGUAGCAAGGCAUGUAUUGUAUUGUUGCCAUCGAGGAUAAAAAGAUGGGGUUUAGAUCAUAUUGCAUGAGUUUAUCCCUCUACAUCAUGUCAUCUUGCUUAAUGCGUUACUCUAUUCUUAUGAACUUAAUACUCUAGAUGCAGGCAGGAGUCGGUCGAUGUGUGGAGUAAUAGUAGUAGAUGCAGGCAGGAGUCGGUAUACUUGUUGCGGACGUGAUGCCUAUAUACAUGAUCAUGCCUAGAUAUUCUCAUAACUAUGCACUUUUCUAUCAAUUGCUCGACAGUAAUUUGUUCACCCACCGUAAUACUUAUGCUAUCUUGAGAGAAGCCAAUAGUGAAACCUAUGGCCCACGGGUCUAUCUUUUACCAUAUAAGUUUUCCAUCUAAUUUUAUUUACAUCUUUUACUUUCCAAUCUAUAUCAUAAAAAUACCAAAAAUAUUUAUCUUAUCAUAUUAUCUCUAUCAGAUCUCACUUUUGCAAGUUACCGUGAAGGGAUUGACAACCCCUUUAUCGCGUUGGUUGCGAGGUUCUUGUUUGUUUGUGUAGGUGCGUGGGACUUUUGAGGAGCCUCCUACUGGAUUGAUACCUUGGUUCUCAAAACUGAGGGAAAUACUUACGCUACUUUGCUGCAUCACCCUUUCCUCUUCAAGAGAAAAACCAACGCAUUCUCAAGAGGUAGCAGUUGCUUCCUUUUGACUAAAAAGGUUUGGAAGAGUCUGAGAUCCCUUGACAGAAGGUCAUUGCAUUGGCUGUCAUGGGAUAAACUUGCAUCUCCUAAGGCAUGUGGUGGCAUGGGUUUUCGUGAUUUGCAUCUCUUCAGUGUGGCAUUGUUGGGAAAACAUGGUUUUAGAUUCAUUAAAAAUCCUAACUCACUAUUGAAAGUGUGUUACGUCGACUAGAGGGGGGUGAAUAGGCGAUUUUUAUGAAUUCUUUACUAAGGAAUUUCAGGGUGAGGAAAUUCCUAAGUGAAGAACUACUUGCAGCGGAAUAAGUACUCAGGUAUAAGCAUAAUAGAGCAACAACAUAGUCAUCAUGAUGAAAUGAAAGACAAACACAGAGUAAAUGAAGCGUAAACACAGGAUAAGCAGGAUGAAGACAAACUGACUGAAGAAAUAGAAUUGAGGAAUUGAGAAAGUCUUCGGUCAAAGUCUUCAAACAGUAAUGAUUAGGUUCAUCAACAUAUAACUGAGGAAAUGAAAGGGUUGAGGAAAUAGAACCAGUAGGCUUGGUGAAGAUAAUGAUUUGGUAGAGCAGUUCCAACUGCUGUGGCAGUUGUACGUCUGGUUGGAGCGGCUGAGUAUUUAAACUCAAGGACACACAGUCCUCACCAUAUUCUCCUUGAGCUAAUAUCACACAGACCUCGCCCAACAGUAGUGGUAAGUCUUCAAAGGUGACUUCCAAACCUUCACAGACUUGGUCACUCGGCAAUCCACAAUUCCUCUUGGAUGCUCAGACCAUGACGCCUAACCGUCUGGAGGAUACACAGCCCUCAAAGGUAACAAGCGUCGGUUCCACAUAGGAACAAUCUCUUCAGUGAUGCUCAAUCACUUUGGGUUUGUAGGUGUUUGGGUUUGGGAUUUGGGUUUUUCCUCACUUGAUGAUUUUCGCUCAAAGUCCUCGGAGGAUGGGUUGCUCUCAAAUGACAAGUGUCAGUUUCUCUCGGAGCAGCCAACCAGCUAGUGGUUGUAGGGGGCGGCUAUUUAUAGCCUAGGGAGAAGCCUGACAUGAUAAGACAUAAAUGCCCUUCAAUGAUAUGACCGUUAGGUGGUAGGAUAUUUUGGACAGCUGGCGUGUGGCACAGCAAUGGUCGGAUUUGAGAUUCGAAUUCCUCAGGGCUAUCAUGUUCCUCACUGUGUAGGAAAUCCGCACCGGCGAAUUCCUAACUCCUUAGUCAGAACAAUUUCCUCAGAGACCAGAAGAUCUUCGUCUCUGUCACUGAAGAAAUUGACUAAACUGAUAUGAUAUUUCCAAUGGCUUCACUCGAAGGAUUGGGUAGGUGUAGGAUUUUGAGAUGAGCAUCACUUGGAAAUCAGUUUCCUUAGUAUUACCUCGACCCCCUUUAAUAGUACGGUGUUUCCUAUGACUCAAGGAGAAGAAAUAAAACUACGAAAACAAAAGUCUUCACGCUUCAUAAUCCUUGCAUGAAUAUCCAAGUCUUCAAGGUCACACCAAUUUCUUCACUUUCAAAGUCUUCAGGAGAACCAAAGUCUUCAGCCGAAGACAUUCAUUUUUAGGGGCCGACUUUCACUGUAAAUAUCAAACUCCUCAUCGACUUAUAGAACCAGUGUACACUCACAAACAUAUUAGUCCCUUAACCUAUAAGUCUUCAAUACACCAAAAUCACUAAGGGGCACUAGAUGCACUUACAAUCUCCCCCUUUUUGGUGAUUGAUGACAAUAUAGGUUAAGUUUUCAACAGGGAUAAACAUUUGAAUUGAAAUUACUCAAUAUUGCGGAAUUUGAUUGCAAGAUAUAGAAGAACUACCCCUGAAGAUGUGCAUAGUGAGGAAUUUGCUUUUGAAGCAAUGCACACUUGAAGAGUAGAAUCAUGGAGAUCUCCCACUAUAUCUUGUAAUUCAUACACGCAUUUAACAUAUGGAAUGAAGAAUUUGAAAUGCAUGAUGAGAUAUGGUGACUGAUGUAAUGAAGCAUGCGUUCAUAGGAUAUAUGAGGAAAUAGCAUGCAGAAAAACAGAUCAAAAGUAUCAGGUCACCAUCAAAUUAAGUUGACAACUCAAUCAACAAACACUUCAGAAGAGCGAGAGUUGCAACUUAACCAAAAAAACGCCCAUAUAAAUAAAUAAACCCACUUGAAGACUAACUCAAAUUUCUCCCCCUUUGUCAUCAAAUGACCAAAAGGGCCAAAAAGUGAGGACUAACGCCCCUAAAGAAUUUCAUUAUGAAGUCGAUGGAGGAGCGCCAGUGUUGUUGGGGUCGGUUGUUGGAGUAGGGCCUGCCGCAGUGUUGUCCAAAUUUUCAUUUUCAUCAGUCUCGCGCGAUGAGGAAUAUGAGCUGGGCAGCAAAGGAGGAACUUCAACUUUCUUGAAUUUCUUCGUUGGAGGCUUAGACCAGCUGAAGUCCUGCUUGAAACCCAUUUGCUUGAUAUCUUCAUCACCAUAGAGAUAAGCCAGAACAGCCCAGGUGCGAUCAAAAACUUCAUUGAGGUAGUAAUGGUUCUUCUUCACUGAAUUAUAUGUGGCAGUCAUGUUGUGAAGAAUAGCACCAAACUGACAUUUGACCCAUUUAUGAUUGUGAUCCACCUUCUAAUGAAGACUGAGGAGAAGCUCACGAUCAAUCAUCACCCUUGGAGCUAUAGCUUGAGGACUUUGCUUUGAGGAAUUGGCGGCAGAGUCAUGAGUAGCAGUGUCAUCAUUGGUGGAAUAUGAAGCAACUUUGCGAAAUUGUCCAUCCAAUGGACGAUUGCCCUCAUCAAUAAUUGCAGUGGCCUUGCCCUUUUCAUCAGCUGAGGAAAAUGUCCGCUUGAGGACUUCAAUAGGGGGCAAGAAACUGCCAUGAUUGAGUGCGUCAGCUUGGUAGUUGAGAUAAGACCUUGAUCUAAGGAAUCUCAUAAUCCAAGGAGCAUAAGGCUUCAACUCAAAAGGAUACAUUGCAACAUUUGCCAAAGUCCUCAUGAAGAAGUCAUGGUAGUUCACUGGAAUACCAUGCAUGAUAUUGAAAAGCAGAUUCUUCAUGAUGCCAACAACUUCUUCAUCAUUGGAGUCAUGGCCUUUGAUAGGACUCAGAGUCUUGGUCAGAAUGCGGUAUACUGUUCUUGGCACAUAUUGCAAUUCCUUCAUAAGGAACUUUGUCCUUGACGCUUGACCAGGCUUCAAUGGCUUCAUCAGAACUUGCAUGAAAUGAUCAGACAGCUCAGUUUCAGAGUAGAUGAGACGUGCACCUUCUAGGGGAGGACUGACAGGAAUGGCAUGAAGCAAUUCAGUGUACGGUGCCUUAUAGUGAGUGUUUUCUGUCAUCCAGUCCAACACCCAUGAGUUCACAUCGUCAGCAUUGCCAGUGAUGUGCAGCGUCACAUAGAAUUGAAGAAUGAGUUCUUCGUUCCAAUCACAGAUGUUCGUGCAGAAGUUAAGUAGUCCAGCAUCAUGAAUAGCAGCGAGGACUGGUGCGAAGCAUGGCAGUGAUUCCAUAUCAACAUGAGGAAUAUGCUCAUGUUGAAAAGCACUGAAGAAUAGAAAUUGGCUUGGCUGGCAGUCCAGAAGCGCUUCCUCCUCAAACGAGCAGAGUCAUAGGGAUUGUAGUCAGUGAAGAAUACAUGCUCAUUGAAGAAAGCGUCAGCCUUGAAUUUCAGAGUCUUGGAGAAUGGAUUCUUCGGCUUUGGCUGAGGAGUAUCAGUUAGUUGAAGAAUAACCUUAGGAAUCUCAAUCUUCGUAGCCGCAGGCUGAGGAAUAUCAGUUUUUGCUUCAGUAGCAGCCUGGGCCUCAAUUUCUCCAUCAGCAUUUUCAUUAGCACUAGUGGCUGGAAUCUCUCCAUGAAUGGAAGGGCAGUGUGAAUUUCUUCAGAGCCCAUUUGAACUUCUGUUGGUGCUGGGGACUAAGGAAUUUGCUAUAUUGGUGUGAACAGAGGUGAGUUGGGGUGCUGACUGUCCCAAAAAUCAUCAUUCAUUACUGGUGUGGUGCUCCCAAUGUCCACAUCCUCAUCCACUUCCAUUUCUUCAACGCCGUCCUCUUCAGCUAUGAACUGAGGCAUUGGCGAUGAUACCUGGGGAGUUGAAGUGAUAACAUCAACUUCAAUUUCUUCAUCAAUCUGCUCUGAGGAAGCAGCAGAGGGAUUCUCUUCAGCAGAUUCAAUAGGAAUCUCAUAAUCUUCACCAAAAGGAAUGAGUUCCUUUGAUGACAUGCUUGAAAGAGGAACAACAUCAAUGGGAUUCUCCAGUGAGCUUGUCAAAAUCUUCGCCUUCUUGGGAGCAGAAUAUUCUGAGGUAGCAAAUGCUUUCCGUUUCUUCAGAGAAGCUCGCUCUGCAGCCUUUGUUUUCUUCACUUCCAAAGCAGAAUGAAGAAUUGGAGAUGGUGUUGGCGUUGGUGCAGGAGGAGCAGAGGAAAUUGGUUCAAUUUCUUCAGGCACAACUGAUGUAGUUGGCCUUUCUUGAGAAAUUUCUUUAGGCGCAGCAGCAGAUGCUUCAGCUGGCCUUGCUUGUUCUUCAGGCGCAACACUAGUGGUUGCCCUGGAAGUUUCUUCAGUGGCUGGUAUUUCUUCAGCAGCCCAGGUACUAGCAAUUUCAUCAGCAGCCUGAUUUUCAUUAGUGGUAUUGGCAUUUUCUUCAGUCGGUUGUGCAGAUGCUUCAGCCGGAGGAACUUCCUCAGGUGAAGUGAAUUUCUUCGUCAGUUUGAAAACCUAACUUUGGCUCCCAGCCACUCUGCUUUGUAAGUGUCAAAUUCAUCACUAAGCCUUUUGAUCUCAGCUUGCAGAGCGAGGAGUUGUUCAGGCGAAAGGUUGAGAACAUUGUCCUUCAGAUAGCGCUGUUUCUUAUACCGCGUUUUCUUAGCAACUCUGGCUUGAUCAUAUUUCCACUUUUCUUCAGCUAUGAACACCAUCAACAUGUGAAUUUAUCUAGGAGUGCGGCCCAGCUCUGGCAGAGGAGUGUUUGGAUCCUUGUGCCAGAGAUCAAUAAAGUGCAGGAUCUUCUUCAGAUCCAAUAGAAGGGGCACAACACUCCCUUUGGCUCUAGCGGCCCGCUACUGUCUGUCCUUGAUGAUAUCAGCCAGUUCUUCAUCAUCAGCUUCAUCAUGAGAUGGAAUUUGAAAGACCACCUGCUUCUUGUGAGGACUUGGUCUAGUGCCUCGUCCAGCAGUAGCCUUUUUCUUCAGCAGAGAGGAGCCAGUUGAAGAAGGAUGAGCUGCAGAACUUGCAGACGCUCCUGGGGCAAUAGAUAUGCAUCUGGUCCUUUGGCAAGUGGCAAGAUGCACAGGUGCCGAGGACUUUGCCGGAGGAGCUUAGGAUUUUGUAGUCUGAGGAACUGGAGCAGCCUGAGGAAUUUGCCGUGAGGGCACUAAUGAGCUUGGCCGUGAGGGCAUUGUUGAGCUUGGAGGUUUGUGGGCAGGCUUCUUGGGCAUAGCCUUCUUGCUUGAGGAAGCCUUAGCAGCGGCAGCAGCAGAAUCUUCAUUGAAUUUCUUCACUGCUUCUUUGGCCUGUUUUGCCAAUUUGGCCUGCCCCUUGGCCCAUUCAUCAGCAUAAUCCUCACCACAUUUGAUGCUUGUGGGAUCAGCUUUUUGGCCAGGUGCCAACGGAGGUCUUGGGAAAGGAGGGUUGAGAGCGAAUUUCUUCAUAUAUUUCGGAGUAACAUAUUUGUACUCCCUCCACUCCCAAGCCCAUCUGCGUUCAAUCUUGUGUAUGCGCACCUUGCGCUCAUUCUUGGUUUCCUUGCCAUGAGUUGCCUCAUUAGGCGUGCAGUACCCUACAUAGAUGUCAGCAGGGAUCUCAAAGGCAGUGUUAACUACCAGCUUCUUUCCUCCUUUCUGAGGCUUUUUACCAUCUGUCAUUUUCUUCAGCUGAGGAAUUUGAACAAUAGAGUUCUCUGAGGAAGUAUGUAGCUUUUCUUCGAGGAACGUUGCAAAUGAGUUAAGUUGAUGAGAACCUAGUGAUUCAGCAGCAGACAUGUGUACCUGUGAACAGAGUAUAGGUGCGAAGAAUUUGGAGAGGUCAUAUGCGUUCUCAUAAGUUUGUUUUUUUGCAAAACGGAACAAGUUUGAGGAAAUUGACCAGUUGUGUCUUAAAGAAUUUCACUAAGCAUUCUUUGACUUAGGUUCCAGAGUUGUGCGGAUUGUGAAAUUCACACAAUUGAGGAAUCUUGAGGAAAAAUGUCACUUAGAGAAAUAGAUCAAGAACAGAUGAUUGUGCUAGGUGUUUAGAGUGUGGAGGUUGAAGAAUAAACACCUUUUGAGGAUUUGAUGAAAAUCAUCAGUAGUAACAAAGGCAGUAAAAAUAACUUUUUAAUUACCCUUGACGAAGAACAUGACAAACUAGAAGUGUAGAUUUGGAAGUUCGUCAGUCCAUAUCUUCCACGCCCUAACUUGGCAAAGGAAGAUGACUACAGCGGCGGCGGAGUGAAGAAAUCCGUGUCCGACACGAGUAUGACGGCGAUAAGGUCGAGGCAGUGAAGCUCUUCCUCACCGGCGACGAUGGAGGUAGCGGCGGCGCUAUGACUUGAGAGCUCAAGCGAGGGGAGUGAGGUCGAGCGGGGUAAAUACGGUUAGAGGAGGGUGAGGGGUAUUUAUAGCCAUGGUGAAAAAUUGUUCGCCCAAAGAAAUUGGACGAACGUGCCCCUGACCCUUCUCAUCCUAGCGACAUGUGUCACCCAUGUACAAUAUAGUGGUGAUCGUGUAAGAUCAUGGGUGAAUAGAUAAGAUUUAUCGUGGAAUGUGUAACGGUUUGAGCGGCAACAGCCGAAAAUUUAGAUAAGAAUUUUUUAAUGUUUCGUUCGCAAUUUCUUCAGCUGACAAGGACACGGUGAAGAUUUUGAACGAGUUUCAAAUAGAAUGCACAUGAAGAAUUUGUGAACAGACUUGGUUGAGUUUAGCAUAGAGGGGAAGCAGGUCCGAUCACAUUCACUUAGCAGACAAAUCAACUUAAAGAAAUAGCAAUAAGUGAAUGUUGUAGAGGACAUAAAACUCAGGUUUAUAUAUAGUCAAUGAAGAACAACGACGGAAGGAGUGAAGACAAUGCAAAGUUGAAGAAUUUGAAAAAUUGAGGAAUUUCAAAAAUGAAGAAAAACUCAACUUGAAGAUUUUCAACUUUGGUUGGUGGCGUAACCCACCGUAUAAGAAAGCUGAUUUCAGACACCGCGUACAAUUGUCGUAGGGUUCUGAGAAUCAAUUUCUUCAUUAAUUUCUUCACACUUAGAGGGUUAGUCUUCAUUGAUUGAAGAAAAACGUUACUUCGUGUGUUGCACAUCUAAGUCAUCAAGUCAGCAUAAGUGUUAGGAUGUGUGUCCUUUUCAAAGAACAUUCGAAGAUUCUAGGAUAUUUAGCUCACACCGCAACUUGCUAAAUCUCUUCUCAUCCAAGGGUUUUGUGAAGAUAUCGGCCAGCUGGUCUUCAGUACUUGUGUGGUCGAUGGAGAUAUCGCCCUUCAACACAUGGUCACGAAGAAAAUGAUGACGAAUCUGGAUGUGCUUUGUCUUCGAGUGCUGAACUGGGUUGUGAGCAAUCCUGAUAGCACUCUCAUUGUCGUAGUAGAGAGGCACAUUCUUCACAUUGAUGCCAGUCCUUGAGGGUUUGCUUCAUCCAUAGCAAUUGAGCACAGCAGGAUCCAUCAGUAAUGUAUUCAACUUCAACAGUAGAGAGUGAUACAUAGUUUUGUUUCUUCGAGGACCAACAUACCAAGGAUCGACGAGGAAAUGGCAUGUGCCUGACGUUGACUUGCGGUCCACACGAUCACCAGCAUAGUCAGAGUCUGAAUAUCCUAUGAGAUCAAAGGAAGAGCCCUUGUGAUACCAUAAUCCAAGUGUUAGUGUGUGAGCUAGAUAUCGAAGAAUAUGCUUCACAGCCUUAUGGUGUGAUUCCUUCGGUGUAGCUUGAAAUCGGGCACACAUGCAAACACUAAGCAUAAUAUUUGGCCUCGAUGCACAUAGGUACAAUAAAGAGCCAAUCAUGGAGCGGUAUACCUUUUGAUCAAAGUCUUUACCAUUUUCAUCAGUGUAUAGAUGGCCAUUUGUGGGCAUAGAGAUUUUGACGCCUUUGCAAUCUUGCAUGCCGAAUUUCCUCAACACAUCCUUGAGGUAUUUCUCCUGAGCUAUGAAUAUGUCAUUGUAUUGUUGACGAAUUUGAAGACCUAAGAAGAAUUUCAAUUCUCCCAUCAUAGACAUUUCAUAUUUUCACUCAUCAUAUAGGCAAAUUCAUCACUGUAACGUUGGUUAGUACAGCCAAAGAUAAUGUCAUCAACAUAUAUUUGGCACACGAAUAAUUCAUCAUCAUAUGCUUUAGUGAAAAGAGUUGGGUCAAGUGAACUGGGUUUGAAGCCUUUCUUCAUGAGGAAUUCCUUGAGUUUGUCAUACCAUGCCCGAGGUGCUUGCUUGAGGCCAUAGAGGGCCUUGUUGAGUCUGUAGACGUGAUCUGGAAAUUUUGGAUCCUCAAAACCUAGUGGUUGAGCAACAUAUACUUCUUCCUCAAGCUUACCAUUGAGGAAUGCACUUUUCACAUCCAUUUGAUGUAAGAUGAUAUUAUAAUGGUUAGCAUAAGCAAGCAAUAGGCGAAUAGCCUCAAGUCUAGCAACAGGUGCAACAGUUUCGUCGAAAUCAAUUCCUUCAACCUGUGUGUAGCCUUGAGCUAGAAGAUGAGCCUUAUUCCUCACCAUGAGGCCAUUUUCAUCUUGUUUGUUGCGGCAGAUCCAUUUGGUACCGAUGAUAUUGUGCUUGUGUGGGUCUGGUCGCUUGACAAGCUCCCACACAUUGUUGAGCUCGAAUUGAUGCAAUUCAUCUUGCAUGGCUUGAAUCCACUCAGAUUCCAUGAAUGCUUCAUCAACUUUAGUGGGUCUGUGAUAGAGACAAACGCAAAAUGCCCACAAAAUUUAGAUAAAUGUGAAGCUUUUGAGCGCGUGAGAGGACCUGGUGCGUUCAUGUCAUUGAUGAUCUUCUUGAUCUGCACUUUGUUUGCAACAUGAGGAUGUGCGGGUUGAAGAUUUUGCUUUGGCCGAGCAAUUUCUUCAGGACCAGUUUCUUCAGCAGCACCAACGUGAUUUUCUUCACGAUCCGGAAUGACUUCUUUAGCAGAUUCUUCGGUAGGGAUGAUAUCCUCAGUAGCUUUGAACUUGAUGGAUUCCUCAGGUGACAUUUCAUCUAGCACAGGAGGUAGGUGCUCUCUUUGCGAGCCAUUAGUUUCAUCGAACCGCACGUCUACAGUUUCAACAAUCUUGUGAUGAUUUAGAUUGAAGACUCUGUAGGUGUGCGAGUCCGUUCUGUAACCAAGCAUAAAACCCUCGUGUGCUUUCGGUGCAAACUUAGAGUGAUGGUGAGGAUCUCUAAUCCAACAUUUAGCACCGAAGACUUUGAAAUAACUUACAUUGGGUUUCUUGUCAGUGAGGAGUUCGUAUGAGGUCUUUUUGAAGAAUUUGUGAAGAUAUACCCUGUUGAUGAUGUGGCACGUAGUAUUGAUGGCUUGAGGGCAAAAACGCUGAGGCGUCUUGUAUUCAUCAAGCAUAGUGCAAGCCAUCUCAACAAGAGUUCGGUUCUUGCUCUCCACGACGCCAUUCUGCUGAGGAGUAUAAGGAGCAGAUAACUUGUGAGUAAUACCAAGUAUAUCAAGAUAUUCAUCGAGUCCAGUGUUCUUGAACUCAGUUCCAUUAUCAAUCCUGAUAUGCUUGAUCUUCACACCGAAGUUAGUGGAAGCCCUUGAGGAAAAUCGUCUAAAGACUUCCUGCACUUAAUUUUUGUAAGUGAUGAUAUGCACCCAUGUGUAUCGAGAAUAGUCAUCAACUAUGACAAAGCCAUAUAAUGAUGCAGAACUAGAGAACAUGGCAUAAUGAGUAGGGCCAAAGAGAUCCAUAUGAAGUAGUUCAAAGGGACGAGAAUUGGUCAUGAUAGUCUUUGAGGGAUGCUUGGCUCUGGUUAUCUUUCCAGCCUCACAAGCCCCACAAAGAUGCUCUUUGAGAAAUUUGACACCCUCGAUGCCAAUGACAUGCUUAUUCUUUGCGAGUGUAUGCAAGUUCCUCAUCCCAGCAUGACCAAGUCGUUGAUGCCAUAGCUAGCAUUCUGAAGAUUUUGCAAGUAGACAUGUGGGAGGCUGUGGUCCUGUAGAGAAAUCAACAAUGUACAAGUCUCCUUUCCUAAAGCCUUCGAAGACUUUGGAGUUGUCAGAUUCCAUUAGCACAAUACAACAAUAUUUGCCAAAGAUGACAACCAUAUCAAGAUCACAAAGCAUUGAGACAGGCAUGAGGUUGAAUCCUAAGGACUCGACAAGCAUGACUUUGUCCAUGUGUCGAUGCUUUGAGAUCGCAACCUUACCUAGACCCAAUACCUUGCUUUUGCCUUUGUUAGCGUAGGUGAUAUGCUUCAGAUGAGAUGGUGACAAAUCAGUGUCCAUCAACAAGUUCCUGUCACCAGUCAUGUGGUUCGUGCAUCCACUGUCGAGGACCCACUCAAUAGCAUUAGGUUGUUCAUCCUGCAGAUGAAUUAGUGCAACUUACGAACCCAUAUACUUCAUCAGUGAAGAAUAUGAUAUCAAUUUCAUCAGCAGUAAUAGAUAUGGCAAUAGUAAUGUGAGGACGUGAGAAAUGAGUAAUUCAUUUCUUCAUGAUUAGCUUGUGUCCAUUCAAGCACAUUCAGGUCUCCAGCAAAUUCUUUAGACGAUUAAGUUCGUCUGGAGACCUGACCCUGCAUAAGAGAUUAGUUAUUUUCUUCACCACCCACAUCUGGAGGGGUGGCAAAGAGUUCAUCAUUCUGCGAGCUCCAUAAGAAAAGGAUGGCAUUGAACCCAGUGCACUUCGUUUCACAGAAGAGUGGUUAGGGUAAGCAUAUGAAUAAGCAGAGAAAUUCUUCGAGGACUUAUGAACAUAAUGGUUUAAAGAAUAAUGCUCAUAUUCAUAGCCUUUAGACUUUCCCUGCGAAACAGAAGUGUUAGCAUGAUGAUGUUCAUAUGAGGAUUUUGAUCCAUGUGAGGAAUUUGAUCCAUAUGAAGAAUUUGGUCCAUAUGAAGAAUUUGAUCUAGGGUUCGUAUUCUUCAUGGGUGGUGUCAUGAUGACAUUCACCUGAAGAUUUUCAAGACAUCUUUUAGGAACCCGGAAUUUCUUCAUAGGGGGACCAUUCCUGCAGUUAGUUCCAACAUAUCGAGCAAAUACUUCACCAUUCUGAUUCUUAAACAGUUUGUAGUUGGAGUCAAAUGACUCAUCAGAGGAAUAUGAAGAAUCACAAGUAAAGCCAGAUAAAGUGCAUGGAUCUACAGGAGGUCCUUUUGCAGCAAUCCAUGAGGUUUUGGGAUACUGCUUAGGUUUCCAGUAAGUCCCAUCAGCAUCGAGUUUUCUCUCAAAGGCAAUACCCUCUUUCCUAGGGUUCCUGUUCAAGAUCUGCUUUUUAAGCACAUCACAUAGAGUCUGAUGCCCUUUGAGGCUUUUGUAAAUGUCUGUCACAUACAAUUACUUCAGGCCUGCAUUAUCAUCAGUGAUACUUGUGGUAUCCUCAGAUGAGGAAUUUGUGACCACAGAGACAGUUGAAGAAUUUGCAGGAAUAGAAGCAUUUGAACAUUCAAGUGAUGAAUUAGCAGAUUCACGCUCAAUGCAUUUUAAACAUGUUGGAAUGAAUUCUUCUUGAGCGGAACUGAUCUAUUGAGCAAGCAAUGAAUUGUUUUCCUUCUAAAGAUCUUCAUACCUCAGUCUUAACUUCUCAAGAUCUUGCUUUCUCUGAAGAAAUUCAUAAUAAAGCUUCUCAUGAUCAGUUAAGAGAGUGUUAUGAUGAUUUUGAAGGUUGUCAAACUUAGUCUGAAGUCUCUGAUGAUUAUCGGUCAGAGACUUGGUUCGAUUCAAUUCCUCACCCAACAGGUCAUCGCUUCUGUCUAGUUGAUUUUGAAUCUUUUCUAAAGCCUUCUGUUGUUUAACAACAAUUAUAGCAAGUUUGGAAUAGCUAGGCUUAAGAUUGUCAUCAGAUUCAUCCUCACUAGAGUCAAAGGGGGAAUGUUUGAGUACCUUGGCACCUUUUGCCAUGAAGCAAUAGGUGGGAGCAUAGUCAUCGACGCUUUUGUCAGCAAAGUUGGGGAGGUCAUUUUCUUCAGUGUUGAAGAUGGACUUGCUGACAUAAGCAGUAGCAAGGGCCAAGCUCGCCACACUAGAGUCUGACUCCUCAGGUUCCUCCUCUUCCACAUUAUCCUCAGAUUCAACUUCAGAGUCCAUUUCCUUGCCAAUGAAUGCCCGGGCCUUCUUGGAACUGCUCUUCUUGUGAGAUGAAGACUUUGAAGAUCUUGAUGAUGAAGACUUUGAAGAUUUCUUCUUCUUCUUUGAGUCAUCAGAGUCAUCAUGUUUGUGCUUCUUCUUCUUUGAUUCCUUUUCCCACAGAGGACAAUCAGACAUGUAGUGACCAGGUUUCUUGCAUUUGUGGCAAGUUCUCUUCUUGUAGUCACGAGACAAGGAAUCAUCAUUUCUUGAAGACUUUCCAAAACGACCGCGGCGAGAGAACUUCUGGAAUUUCUUCACGAGCAUUGCUAGCUCCUGGCUCAGUUCUUCAGGGUCACGAAGGUUGCUACCAGAGUCUUCAGCUUCAGACUCAGAAGCUGCCUUGGCCUUCAAUGCACAUGAUCUUACAUAGCUCGGUCCAUAGAGGUCUCUCUUCUUAGCAAGUUGGAACUCAUGUGUGUUUAGCCUCUUGAGGAUAUCAGCGAGAUAUAGUGACUUGUAAUCAGCUCGCUCUUGAAUCAUCAGUGCGAGGGUAUCGAAUGAGGUGUCAAAUGAUCUCAGCAAUUUCUUCACCACCUCAUGAUCGGUGAUGUCAGUGGCACCAAGUGCUUGAAGCUCAUUUGAGAUGUCAGUGAGGCAAUCGAAGGUUUGCUGAAUAUUUUUGUUGACGAGUCUUUUUAAGCGAUUGAAGAGAUUGCGAAGGACAUCAACUCGGGAGUCAUGUUGAGUUGAGACUCCUUCGUUGACCUUGGACAGCCUGUCCCAAAUCAGCUUGGCAGUUUCCAGAGCACUCACUCUGCCGUACUGUCCUUUGCUCAGAUGACCACAUAUGAUACUCUUCGCUUGAGAAUCGAGUUGCUUGAAUCUCUUCACGUCAGCAGCAUUCACAGACGAAGUGACAGAGGGAACGCCAUUUUCCACAACAUACCAGAGAUCGUUAUCAAUUGCCUCAAGAUGCAUGCGCAUCUUGUUCUUCUAGUAGGGGUAGUCCAUCCCAUCAAAGGUAGGACACCCAGCCGAGACCUUGAUCAUAGCUGCAGUCGACAUAACUAAAACUCCAGGUGGUUAAACCAAAAUCACACAGAACAAGGGAGUACCUUGCUCUGAUACCAAUUAAAAGUGCGUUACAUCGACUAGAGGGAGGUGAAUAGGCGAUUUUUAUGAAAUCUUCACUGAGGAAUUUCAGGGUGAGGAAAUUCCUAAGCAAAGAACUACUUGCAGUGGAAUACGUACUCAGGUAUAAGUAUAACAGAGCAACAACAUAGUCAUCAUGAUGAAAUGAAAGACAAACACAGAGUACAGGAAGCGUAAACACAUGAUAAGCAGGAUGAAGACAAACUGACUGAAGAAAUAGAAUUGAGAAAUUAGAGAAAGUCUUCAGUCAAAGUCUUCAAACAGUAAUGAUCAGGUUCAUCAACAUAUAACUGAGAAAAUGAAAGGGUUGAGGAAAUAGAACCAGUAGGCUUGGUGAAGAUAAUGAUUUGGUAGAGCAGUUCCAACUGCUGUGACAGUUGUACGUCUGGUUGGAGCGGCUGAGUAUUUAAACUCAAGGACACACAGUCCUGGACACACAGUCCUCACCAUAUUCUCCUUGAGCUAAUAUCACACAGACCUCGCCCAACAGUAGUGGUAAGUCUUCACAGGUGACUUCCAAACCUUCACAUACUUGGUCACUCGGCAAUCCACAAUUCCUCUUGGAUGCUCAGACCAUGAUGCCUAACCGUCUGGAGGAUACACAGUCCUCAAAGGUAAUAAGCGUCGGUUCCACACAAGAACAAUCUCUUCAGUGAUGCUUAAUCACUUUGGGUUUGUAGGUGUUUGGGUUUGGGAUUUGGGUUUUUCCUCACUUGAUGAUUUUCGCUCAAAGUCCUCGGAGGAUGGGUUGCUCUCAAAUGACAAGUGUCAGUUUCUCUCGGAGCAGCCAACCAGCUAGUGGUUGUAGGGGGCGGCUAUUUAUAGCCUAGGGAGCAGCCCGACAUGAUAAGACAUAAAUGCCCUUCAAUGAUAUGAUCGUUAGGUGGUAGGAUAUUUUGGACAGCUGGUGCAUGGCACAUCAACGGUCGGAUUUGAGGUUCUAGUUCUUCAGGGCUAUCAUGUUCCUCACUGUGUAGGCAAUCCGCACUCGCGAAUUCCUAACUUCUCAGCCAGAACAAAUUCCUCAGAGACCAGAAGAUCUUCGUCUCUGUCACUGAAGAAAUUGACUAAACUGAUAUGAGAUUUCCAAUGGCUUCACUCGAAGGAUUGGGUAGGUGUAGGAUUUUGAGAUGAUCAUCACUUGGAAAUCAGUUUCCUUAGUAUUACCUCGACCCCCUUUAACAGUACGGUGUUUCCUAUGGCUCAAGAAGAAGAAAAUGAAACUACGAAAACAAAAGUCUUCACGCUUCAUAAUCCUUGCAUGAAUAUCCAAGUCUUCAAUGUCACACCAAUUUCUUCACUUUCAAAGUCUUCAGGAGAACCAAAGUCUUCAGCCGAAGACAUUCAUAUUUAGGGGUCGACUUUCACUGUAAAUAUCAAACUCCUCAUCGACUUAUAGAACAUGUGUACAUUCACAAACACAUUAGUCCCUUAACCUAUAAGUCUUCAAUACACCAAAAUCACUAAGGGGCACUAGAUGCACUUACAACUAUGUGCAAGAGUCAUGAAAGGACGGUAUUUUCCUCAUCGUUUCUUCAUGGAGGCCACAGUACCGCACUCUUCUUCAGCGAUUUGGCGCGCUAUUGUGGCCGGAAGAGAGGCUCUACAGUUGGGCUUGAUCAAAAGAAUUGGCGACGGGACUACUAUAUCCAUAUGGAAUGAUAGAUGGAUACUGGGUACUCCCUCGCUCUCUCCUAGGGUGAUGCGAGGAGGAACCACCUUGGAGUUUGCCAGUCAGCUUAUAGACACAAAUUAUUGACUUGGCGAUCUCAGCUUGUUCGUGAUGUUUUCAUCUCACCCGAUGCGUAUGCAAUUUUAAAUAUCUCUUUACGCAAUGGGGGGUGAGGAUUUUUGUGUGUGGGCUCAUGAAGGCAAUGGCAUCUAUUCUGUAAAAUCAGCAUACCAUGCUCUAGUGAAUCAGAAAGAGCGUGCCGCUCUAGAUGAAGGGACGGCUACAAAUACUUCACAGACCGAUGAACAGAUGUGGAAGCUGUUGUGGAAGCUCAAGGUCUUGCCGAAGGUUCGUGUCUUCUGGUGGAGAGUGGUCAGGGGCAUUCUUCCGGAUGAAAGUACACUAAAACAUCGGCAUAUACGACCCAUUAGCAGAUGCAAUGUCUGCCUUGCGAUGGAUGAGGAUUUGAUGCAUGCCCUAGUGCAUUGCUCUCGUGCCAAAUUGUUCUGGGAACAAGCACAUGAGCUACUUGGUGUUAGAAGACCGAGGCUGCACCCGUAUACAUGGUCUAGAGAUAUUAUUUGUGACAGUCAAUUCACAGAGGUGGAGAGAGCUCAAAUGAUCUCUGUUAUGUGGGCAAUAUGGCACUCCAGAAACAGAAUCACCCAUGAUGGAGAGAAGCUUGAUCCUCUGGCCACAGUGAGACGCAUCAGAGAAGAUUUGGCGAUACUUGAUAUUCCUUCUUCACAUGCUUCGAUCCUCCCCGGACAUGAGUGGCGACCGCCAGAUGAGGGUGUUGUCAAAAUUAAUACUGAUGCGGCUAUAAACAUGGAUCCGAACAAGGCUGGAGCAGGAGGUGUGGCACGUUCAACCUCGGCUUUGUUGGGAGCUUGGAGUAAACCCCACGACGGGGUGACGGAUCCAUUCAUAGGUGAGGCCUUGGCGCUCCGUGGCGGCGUCAUCUUUGCAAGCUUGCGAGGUUUCUCACAUGUGAUUAUGAAGACAGACUGCCUAGAGGUCGUUAACCUCUGGAACACUCGCCAUAAUAGUCUUUCUAUAGUGGCACCCUUAUUUUUAGAGAUUGGAGAGCUAGCUUUCUCUUUUACGUCUUUUGUUAUUCAACAUGUAAACAGAUCUGCCAACGCACCGGCCCAUCUCUGUGCGAAGCAUGCUUGCUCUGAUGGUCACCGAGAGUUGGACAGGUUCUAGAUGAUGCUAGGAGUUUCUUGGUUGAAUAAAGCUCUCAGAUUGAACGCAAAAAAAAAAGAUACCGACAAUCAAAAUGACGGCGUUGGACGGCAAGACACAUUCAGACCGCACGGUCCGAACGGAUGCGAGUGGUUUGAGAGACGGCAAGACACAUUCAGACCGCACGGUCCGAACGGAUGCGAGUGGUUUGAGAGUCCGCAUGGAGAUGCUGGUUUGUUUAUGGGAUGAAAGCAAAAGUUUCUUGGGUUUGUUUCCAGGGAGCAGAAACCAACUUUGAUCUUUGGAGGAGUACAACACACAGAAACAGAGCAGAGGUAAUUCACACUUGCAAUUACAAUUUGAGAUUUUCGGAGUACUGUCUCAUAGCUCUCCCGUAGGCUGGCCUUUGGGGAGACCGGGAGAGAGUUCCGCACCAGCUUUCUGGCAAAUGUACGUACGUACCAUGUCAAGAAACAAAUCAACAAGGCAGACACCGACGAUCUGCUUAGCAUAACAGCUCUACUAACUAAUUAAGCAGCGGCCUUAUGCUGCUGUCACCUCAUGCGAACUCUCUCUGCAGCGGCGGCU